rnacentral:lncRNA from 1 species
AAUCUAACGCGGCCUCCGGGUUUCAGAGCCGCCUCCGAGUUUCCCUUCAGGCGUUGGUGCUCCGUUUGUGAGUCCCUCAAUUUUUUUAAACCCUUCUUUUUGGUUUUUUGGAUGCGAUCUCUUAAUGGGAUUUUCAGAUGCUAUCGUCUUCUCUCUGUCUCUCUCUCUUUUUUUCUCUCUUGAUUUUUCCGUUUAUAUAUGUAUCUUUGAAUGCUUCGAGUAUUUUGUUUCAUCUAAUCUACGAGAAGGGGAAGAGACGGGGAAAGGAUAAGAGUGAUAAGAGAGAGGGCUCUAAAUAAAGAGUCAAACAGCAGGCGCCUAUUCAGUGGCGAUAUCCUGUCUGCCGCAUGGAGCCCAUAUCAAACGCGGCCAGACGAAGAUUGCUUGGAUAUCCUAUCCUCUCGUUAUUCCAAUGCCACAAUAUCUGGCCACACUUGUUCCCUACCCCUGAUCUGAAUACCCCCUCUUUUAUUUCUUUUGUUUUUCACUCCCACAAUUUUAUUCCUAUUACUUAUUUGUUUUUUUUUUCCUUAUUCUUUCUGAGAUUACAUCUUUGAUAUAUAUAUAUAUAUAUAUAUAUAUAUUGNNNNNNNNNNNNNNNNNNNNUAUAUAUAUAUAUAUAUAUAUAUAUAUAUAUUGUAUGUUUUGUUAAAAAGAUGGGUUUUUUUAUGGAAGGAAAGGAUAAGAAUGAUGGCUCUAUUUCAGACGACGGGGGCUUGUCAGUUUUGAUAGCAGGCUACCUUUUGCAUAGCGCCUAUAUGGAGAUCAAACAGUGUGAGGCUGCUACACGAUUGUAGGGUGUGCUUACUUUGUAGCCCCCUUCAAAUUUAAAGCAGGCACAUCCUUAGAAUAAUCAAACUUCAUCAAAAUUAAUUGAAAUAGUUAAUAGAUUAUAAUUUUUUUUUAUUUUGGUGAUUGUUUAUGACUUGUACCCCUUUUUGCUCAUUUUGUUAUCAACUAUUUUGCAUCUUGUUAUUUCUUUCAAUUUUUAACUUUCAACUUCUACUCUUUUCCCCCACUUUGGAUCAUGUUCCCCCUCACUUUUUUUUUGGUCAUUAAUAAUUGGAUUGGUCAGAACAAUCAAUGAGUAUUCUGUUUUGAUUCGGUAGUUAAGAUCGAGAAGAAUUCUGUUCUUAUCCAAUAUUUGAAGUGAUGUUUCAUAAUAACGUUUCUUUAGCAAAUAAGCUUGUGCAUUACAGAGUCUUUAAAGAUGAACUUAUCGUAAAACCUGAACUCGAAAGAUACAAAACAACAUGAUGGCAUCACUCGGCUGAAACAUGCAUGAAACAUGCAUGUAUCUGAUGGAUAAAGGCUUGAUGGUAUUAUAAAAGCUUCAAAUUUUGGUAUUGUUUUGCAUCCCUUGAGAUGCUCACUAAUCCUACAUCAAUAUGAACUUGGAACGGUGUUUUCAUCAAAAUUUUGGGGUUAGAGAGGAAUUAAUCAAGUCCAUCGUAUCAGUCCUACCUGCUCUAUUGUUACGUCUCAGCACAAGGCCCGAGUCGAGCACAACGGACGGCCGUAAAUCCGUGGGAUUUGAUUUUAAUUUGAUAGAAAAAUUUAAUACAUUAAUUCAAAGAAUAAUUCAUAAUUAUUUAAUAAUAAUAAAAAAAACUAAUCAAUUUAUAAUUUUAAUAUAUUAAUUCAAAGAAUAAUUUUAAUACAUUAACUCAAAGAAUAAUUUAUAAUUAUUUAAUAAUAAUAAGAAAAAUUAAUCAAUUUUUUUUGUAGAAUUAUUAAUUAUAAAUAUGUCAAAUUUUAAAAUCCUUAUUAUUCAAAUUCAAGUUCCAUCUAUUUUGCAGCGACUAAAAAAAAAAUAAUAAAUUUUACAAGUUCAAUAAAUUAUCAAUAUCUCAAAUUUAUUAAAAUAUUAGUUUAUAAUUUCAUAUGGUGUUUGAAAUUUCAAAGUUAGUUUCUUCUCAUCGAUCGGAGUCAAUAUUUUCUCGAUUGAUCAGUUAUAUAUAUUAUUAAAUAUUUGCAUUAUAACAACGAAAAUUUUUCUCAAUAUUUUAGUAAUAAGUAGAAGGAGAAUUUAAGAAAUAGAACUUGAAAAAUUUAUUCUAAUAAUAUUAAAAGAUCCAUGGUAAACAUAUUUGAUAAGAUAAUGUAUGCUGCUAAGUCAUCUAAUAUAAAUUUUACAAUUGUCAAAUAGUGCAUACCUUACAUGGAUUGUGUUAACUUCAUCAAAUGGUACAUAAUUUAAAUCAAUUAUAUUGUGAUCUAAAGAUCUAAAUCCUUGUACGUUAUAUAAAAAUUUAGUGGAUAUUCCAUGUUUCUCUCUUCUCCUCUACUUGAAAAAAAUCCAAUCCAAAUCAAAUGGUGGCUUUCGUGAAGGAUGUAUAGGGCAAGCUCAAUCGGGAUUUAUAUGUCUCUUUUUGACCAAGAUCAUGAGCGAGGCCCGCUACAUCCAGAACAACACCCCGACCACACCCCCAAGGAUUGCAUCGCCUACCAUGUCCUUGAUGCCCUCCUCCCCCUCAGCACCACCAUCGAUGGCAGCCCUCUCAUUGUCUCCCAUGUCAUCUACAUUGAAGGCUGCGGUAAUGCUGAAAUAAGGAUUUUUUGAGGAUUUUUCUACCAUUGUCUCCUUCAACCCUUUCUGCACCUCGAGCCGCGAUGCCUCUGCCAACGUCUUUCGUGGCCUCCUCUUUAAUGGGAAGUCUGUUGCCAUCAAACGACUUGACCUCCCCUCUUUUUUUCCUUCUUUUUUUUCAAUCGUAAGUUUUGAAUCUUCUUUUCCUCUUCUACCUCUACCGCUCCUUUCACCAUACCUAUGUUCAUGAUAGUACUCUCCUCAUCUCUCCUGCUGCUUCUUCCACGAUCUUCUCUCCGCUACUGCCUCCUUCGAACCCCUUUCGCUCCCUUGAUCAUGGUGCCUUCGUUGAGGUCAUCCGUGGCCUCCUCUCCAAUGGCAAGUCCAUCACCAUCAAACAUCUCGACACCCCCUCCUCUGAUCGUGAGCUUCAAAUUCGAAGCAUAAUGAUUUUGCCAAGAGGAUUUUUUUUCCACACAAUAGAUGGAGGCAUCUGCAUUGUUCAAUGUGGUGAAUAGAGACUCUGCCAAUACAGAUGCCUCCAUUUUAAUAUAUAUAUAUAUUAAAUUUGUACAAAAAAAUAAAUUUAGUUUCAUGAGUAUAAAAGCAUAUCAUAAUAAUCAACAUAAAUUUAAAAUAUAUAUUUUGCUUGAAAUAAAUUUUUCAAUCAUCCAAAGAUUGGUCCUCCACUCUCACUCUCCUAGUCCCUUGGAUUAUGGUCAUGAUCGAUCAGUGACUAAUCCUGAAAGAGACUAGAUACUACAAUAUACCAUCCUUCGGUCAUACGUCAGUAAUCAUCCCAUUAGAAGUUUGAAAAGAAAACUAGUUCUAAUAUCAUAUAGAGAAACAUGCUCUCACUAACACAUGUCAACAAUCAACUUUGCCUGAUUAGGUCCGAAAGAAAAACUAAUCCUUGACCACAACACAUCAUUCAUCAGUGAGUACUAGUGAUUGCCCCAUUAGAGGUCUGAAACGAGACUAGAUCUUGAAUCCGUAUGAUUAUAAUUGGACUAGAGAGUAGUGGACUGAUACAUAAUAUAUUUUGAUGCAAAGAGAUAUAAUUAAUUUUUUACUAAAGCAUAUAUAUUCAAUCAAACAUUUCAUGAAUCCUUUUUAUAUAGAGCAUAAAAGAUAAUUAAUUUAAAUGGAAUGUUAUGAUAAUGGAUAAAUGUAGAAAUCAAAUUUUAUAUAUGAUAAAAAUAUAUUAGGGGUAGACGUAACUGAUGAUCUAGAUCGAUUAGAUCUAAGAAAAUCCAUCCAAUAAAAGUAUUCACAUCUUUAGACAUAUAGCUCAAUCUUUAGUCUUGGCACUCCUCUAGAAUUAAAGGAUCUAUUCAACGUAAUUAAUACUGUCAACCCUUAAUUGAAAUAGAGAAUGAAAAAUAGAGAAAAGAGAGAGUGAAUUAAUUUGAGUCCAAACAAGAACCUGAUCGGUUUGGAAUGAAUCUACUAAUAUGGGAAGGAGAGAGAUACUAGAUCUAGGCUAAUCGAGUUGCUUGGGCUAGAUCCACUUGGGUUAGGUCGAAUUAGGGGCCAAUGGAUUCCCUUCUCUCUUUCUCUCACUCUCUCUUUCUCUCUCUCCUUCUACUUCUUCCAUGGACAAAAAAGGGGUUUUGAUAGCGUUUGAUCUGUCUAAAAGCAAGAUGGAGAGGGGGGAAAGAGAGGACUUGGUGGUUGGCAGGUUGAGGAGAUUGAAGUGGUCAUCGACCGGCGACAACGGCGAUGACUCAAGUGAAAGGCUCGAAGAAGUAGAAAAAUAGGGUUCAAAGUGGCUUAAAAAUACUCUACAAAUAGGGCUUGGAUCUAGAAAGAAUGGAAGAGGAGAGAAGGGAAGCUUACCGACAAUCAAUAGAGGCAGCGAAUUUUGAUCGACGGUAGCAAUUUUCCAGUAGUUUAAGGGCACAAAAUUGAGUCAAAAUAGGGUAAGAGAGAGAAAGGGGGGAUUUUGGGUAGCUGGACUUUGGCUACGACAACUUGUUAGUUGUUGAAGAGGCGAAGAAGGGAGGAAAGAGACGAAGGAGUGCAUAAUGAUACUGAUUACAGGAGAGGAGUUUAAAUAGGACACGACUGCAGAAAAGAUAAAGUCGACCUAACACCAGUCGUUCGCAAAUAUGUAUCGGCCUCCAAUGGCCACCGAUGGUUCGCAUCAGUCCGAAGAAGUCGCAUCAGCUACUAUUUGGUGGCCUUAUCCUUUGAUAGCAAAGAUCGGACAGGAGAUCAAGAUCUCUUCUAUUUUAAUUUUAUUUUUUAAAAAAAUUAUGAAUUGAAGUCAAUAAUGAGUUUGCCGACUUUAAUUCAAAAAUAAACAGAGGGUUUCACAAAGGUGGAGAUUCUGAAAUACGACUAAUUGGGAGUGGGUUUGUUGAUCAUGAACAGUUUUUUUUGUAACCUAUCAUUUUUAUUGAAGUAUAUUUCAUUUUUUUAUUAUUAUUAUUAUUAUUUUGACCCCAUAAUCUCUUAAUAGAGUGCACAAGAAUAUUUAUAAAAAAAAAGAGUACUGUUGGGACAGUCAACCGACCUCCGACUCCGACUCUACAUCGAUCGUAUGAAUACAUUAUGCUGACUCAUGAUCAGUGAACCGACCGACAGUCGGCUACUAUCAACCAUCAACUAACAAUUUGAUUAACUCCCGAUCGAAGACCAUCAGUAUAUCAGAGUUACCAGUCGAUACUCAUUCGGAUCUACUACCGAUUUAUCAGUAUUACUGACAUAUAGUCAGCCUAUCUUCUCAACACACCCUAACCAUUAUGAAUAGUUAUCAACUACGUGUCACGGUCAUUAGUGGGCAUAAACAACUCACUAACUCCACGAUUAUGGCUCGAUAAUUUAGCGUCAUAAAAAAUGAGACCACGUACUCGAUGGUUACAUCAGAAUCAUUUAUAAAAGGGAAGGUAAAUGAGCAGUAUGGAUAAGGCAAUCCUAGGCUAAGACUCUGUCGUUCUAAACACUCUUAAUCUACUGUUCACCAAUCUCCUCUCUGAUUUAAGCAUCGGAGGAUUUCUGUCGGACACAACUCCAGUCUGUGAGGAUUUUAUCUUACAGGUGUUCUUCACCGACAACAAGCGAUAGGGGGUUGGCUGCAACAGAUUGACACAUCAGGUAGGGAGAGGCUACAAUCAACUAUGUCAAACAUCAUAGCUCAACACUUGACUAGAUUGGUGAGGCAGUCUUUCUAUCAAAAAGAUAUUCUUCCCCCACCUCCAGUGGCAGAGCCUAGUUCUUCACGUCUUGUGGUCACCACGGACGUACAGAUUACUGCACUCAAGCAGCAAAUGAAAGUUUUGAUGGAGGUGGUCCAAAAUCUUCAACAGCAGCAAAUCCAGCAGCAGCAGCCAUCGGUGGAGCAGUCGGUGGCUCAAUCAGUGCCAUCCAGGCACAGUCACCAUCCUCCACGACAUUCACCCUCCUCAUCUCCGAAGCAGCGACCGUCUCGACACUCCCAUCGAGAUGAACAACCGUAUUCUUGGCACUCCCAUCAUGCCACUCAUCAUUCACGGUGUUCUCCCUCUCUUUCUCGUACACAUAGUAUCAAGAAAGAGAAAUGAUCACGGACACCUUCUGUUUCUCCUUCUUUAAGCUCUUCAGGAGGUUCUACCCCUGGAGUUUUUCAGUAAUGGUGGCUCGAUGACUACAAACGUAAAUUCAGAAAAAUUGAUCGUCAGCUCGUCUGACUUCAGGUGGAAGGUCGAAAGUCCUCUAAUAACUACGACUUCCACACUGCCUAGUCUCUCUCUUGGUGCAUCUUGGGUGAACUGAUUUCUUCUCGAUUCAAGCUACCGCAGAUGGAGUCAUAUGGUGGCUCCAUCGAUCCGAUCGAUCAUUUGGAGAGCUAUAAGGCUCUCAUGAUGAUCUAGGAGGCAAUCGAUGUCUUCUUAUGCAUUAGCUUCCCGAUAACUCUUCGAAAGGUUGCUCGAGCCUAGUAUUUCGAGCUUCAGUCGGAAGCAUUAAAUCUUUCGAGCAACUCGAGCAUUCUUUUAUGGCCUACUUCAGCACAAGCCGAAGGCCGUCAUGGACAUCCUACAGUCUUUUCUCAAUCAAGCAAGGUGAGAUAAAGACAUUGAGGGACUUUGUGACUUGCUUCAAUGCGACCACACUUGAGAUCAAGGAUCUCAAUGAAGACAUGGCUAUAUCAGCUAUGAAAAGAGAUCUGAGGGGAUCCAGAUUUACUUACUCUCUAGAUAAAAUUCUUUUCUAGACCUAUGCUGAACUUCUAAAAUACGCGUAUAAGUAUAUUCAUGUGGAUGAAGCUGUUUCUGACCGACGUCAGACAGAUGAAAAAUGUCAGAAGAAGAAAUAAAAGAAAAGUGAAGCUCCAAUUGAAUCAAAUAGGUCGAUUGUUGAUAAAAGCUUCACCUCGACGACGGAGUCCAAAGCCGAAUAGCUAUGGCAGGUAUGACUCCUACACUCCUCUUUCUGCUUCCCAUACGCAAAUCCUGAUAGAAAUCGAAGAAGAGUACUUACGACACCCCCCACCAAUUAAAGCACCAUCGAGGAGCCGAGAUAGGAAGAAGUACUAUCGGUUCCAUCGUGAUUAUGCUCACGAUACCGAACAAUACAUCCAGCUUAAAGACGAGAUAAAGGUCUUGAUUCGAUAAGGCUACCUCGAAAAAUUUCGACGUGAUCAUCCGACUCAACCUCCCACCGACCAACAACUUCAGCUGCAAGCUGAAGAGACACUCACCAAUCGACCAAUGGUGGGAGUAAUCAACAUAAUCUUCGGGUGACAGAAGAACUGAGGGGCAACUUUCGAAGAAGUGUCGGUGAAGAAAUGAUGAUUUGAUAAUGUAAUUACCUUUUUGGAAGAUGAUGUUCGGAGAAUACAAACUUUUCAUGAUGAUGCUGUCGUUGUUUCGAUAACGAUAGCUAAUUAUGAUGUAAAAAAAUUUUAGUGGAUAAUGGAAGCUCGACGGAUAUUUUGUUUUACUCGACUUUCUCUCGAAUGCGACUACCGAUUGAUCAACUUAGAAGAGUCUCGAUGCCAUUGAUCGAUUUCACAGGAGAUGUAGUCACAGGAGAGAUACGUGGAGAUCAACAACUUGUCCGACGCUGCUUCCUAGUUUCCACACAAAAUAAUCAACCCGAAGACUCUUUAUCCGUUGAUAAAUUGAACCAAAGAGAGAAUGAAGAAAUGGAUGAACUAGCCGAACAAUUAGUUUCUAUCCUAUUAAAAGAAGAAGAUCCUGAGAAGACAGUCCAAUUUGGAUCGUAGCUGUCUGAUCUGGAGUAGCAGCAACUAAUAAAUCUACUCAAGAUAAAUAUCAAUAUUUUUGCUUGGUCGGCUACUGAUAUGCCAGGCAUUCCUUCAGAAGUAAUAACCCAUCAACUAAAUAUUGACCCAAAGGUUAAGUCGGUGAAACAAAAGAAAAAGUCUUUUACUUCUGAAAGACAGAAGGUCAUCGACGAAGAGAUCGACAAACUCCUCGCAGCUGGCUUCAUCAGAGAAGCUACCUAUUCUGAUUGGCUCGCUAAUAUAGUGAUGGUGAGAAAGAUCAAUAAAAAAUGAAAAAUCUACAUCGACUACAUAAAUCUAAACGAAGCUUGUCCGAAGGACAGUUUUUCUUUGUCAAAGAUUGAUCAACUAGUUAAUGCAACUUCGGAGCAUUGACUCUUAAGCUUCAUGGACGCCUUUGCAGGCUAUAAUCAAAUUUGGAUGGCACCCGAAGAUGAGGAGCACAUAGCUUUCAUAAUCGAUAAAGACAUCUAUUGCUAUAAAGUAAUACCUUUCGGUUUAAAAAAUGCUGGAGCCACAUAUCAAUGGCUAGUCAAUAAAAUCUUCAAGACAGAUCAUGUGAAAUAUAGAAGUGUAUGUGGACGACAUGCUGAUGAAAAAUUCUCAAACUACUGAUCAUGUUUAGGAUCUAGAAGAAGCCUUCAGUAUACUUCGACGAUAUCAGAUGAAGUUGAAUUUGACUAAGUGUGCAUUUGGAGUAACUUCUGAGAAGUUCUUUGAAUUUUUUAUAUCCCAACGAAGAAUCGAGAUCAAUUUCAAAAAAAUAAAGGCUAUCAUCAACAUGAAGCAUCCUAGUUCCAAAAAAGAGAUACAGCAGCUCAACGAAAGGAUCACCGUACUCAAUUGAUUCAUAUCAAGGUCGGCAAAAAGAUGCUUAUCUUUUUUCAAGACCUUGAGGCAAUCAAACGACUUCAUAUGGUCAAAUAAGUGUCAACAAUCCUUCGAAGACCUAAAAGGAUAUUUAACAUCUCCAUCGCUACUUUCAAAAUCAAAGGUCGAAGAAAUUUUAUAUCUCUACUUGGCGAUAUCGAUGGAGGCAGUUAAUUCAGUACUUAUCUAGAAGGAUGAAAAUCAAAUUCAACGAUCAAUCUACUACACUAGCAAGGUACUUCACAAUGCCAAAGUAAGAUAUUCAAAAGUGGAGAAAAUGAUCUACGCUCUAAUCAUAUCAUCAUAGCGACUUCGUCCAUACUUUCAAACACAUCCUAUUGUUGCCUUGACAGAUCAGCCGUUGAAGAUAAUCUUAAACCGACCUGAUACAUCGGGUCGAAUGGCAAAGUGGGCAAUAAAGUUUGACGAAUUUGAUAUACAAUAUCGCCCACAUCCAUCAAUGAAGGCGUAAGUUUUGUCCGACUUCGUCGUCUAGUGUACAAUAUCGGAUAAUAAUCCUGAGGAUGAAGCUAAUGACAAAAUAAAGUAGGCCACAACUCUUAAACCUGACUCAACAUCAGCAUGGGUGCUACAUAUUGACGGAGUAUCUAAUGCAUUGGGCAGCAGAGCCGGUCUCAUCUUUAUCAAUUUCGAAGGAGUUAUUACUGAAUAUGCUCUUUGAUUCAACUUUAAAGCUUUGAAUAAUCAAACCGAAUAUGAAGCAUUCUUAGCCGGCUUAAAAAUUGUCAAGGAGCUUGAUAUCGAUAGCCUGAAGGUUUUCACCGACUCACAACUAAUUGCUGGACAGAUUAAAGACGAGUUUGAAGUCUGAGACCCCAUUAUGAUGAAGUAUCUUCAAAAAGUGAAGGAUCUUACAUCAACUCUAAAAUAUUUUGAGAUCUUUCAUAUCCCAAUGAUAGAAAAUGCUCGAACCGACAUACUUUCAUGACUUGCAAUCACUUCUUUCAACUCGUUAGGUCGGACAUUCGUCGAAUACCUUGAACAGUCGAGUAUUAAUAAAGUCAAGGAAGUACUACAAAUCACCGAUGAAUCAAGCUGGAUGGAUCCUAUUGUGCAGUACUUGACUGAUGAAACUUUUCCUAUGGAUCCAUCAGAAGCCAAAUAACUCAGAUGGAUGGUCUCACAAUACAUUUUGAUAAAUGGUUAAUUAUACAAGAGGUCAUUCUCUCUUUUCUUACUGAAGUAUUUAAGACCGACAGAUGCCAACUAUGCACUCAGAGAAGUUCAAGAAGAGAUUUGUGAAAAUCACUUGGGGGCAAAUCUCUAGCUUACAAAGUUCUACGACAAGGAUAUUAUUGGUCCACUAUGAAAAAAAUACAGCUGAGCUUGUCCGAAGGUGUGAACCAUGUCAGAAAUAUAUAAAUAUACAACAUCAAUAGGUCAGUCAGUUAACAUCAAUUGUUGCACUAUAGCCCUUUGCACAAUGGAGAAUUGACAUAUUUAGUUUUUUCCCUCCAGCAUCUGGCCAGAGAAAAUUUAUAGUGAUCGCCAUCGAUUACUUCACCAAGUGGAUAGAAGUUGAACCUUUGGCACAGAUCACUGAAAGUAAGAUGAAAGACUUUAUUCAGAAAUCAAUUAUAUGCAGAUUCGAUCUACUGCACACCAUUAUCACUGAUAAUGGUCGGCAAUUCGACAAUCAAAACUUCAAAGAGCUUUGUGUAAAAUUUUAUAUUAUGCAUAAACUCACAUCAGUCAGCCACCCACAAUCCAACAAAGAGGUGGAGGUAACAAACCGAACAAUUCUGCAUUGACUUAAGACCAGAUUGAAUGAAGCUAAAGGCCUCUGGGAGGAGAAAUUAUAUCCAAUCUUGUGGGCUUAUCGAAUAACUCCAUAUGUACCAACAGGAGAAUCACUAUUCAAUUUGGUUUAUGGAACAGAAGCGAUGAACCCACUUGAGAUCGGACUACCAUCAACAACAGUAGAACAAUAUAAUGAGCCGAGCAAUUUAGAAUGUCAGAGAGCUGAUCUAGACUUGCUUCCAGAAGUCCAAUAGCAAGCUCAAGUUCAGAUGGUAGCAUAUCGAUAAAGAGUAGCCCAAUAUUAUAAUGUAAAAGUUAAGCCGAAGGUCUUCUAUCCAGAAGAUCUGGUCCUAAAAAAAGCAAAAGUCUCAAAACUACUGGACCAAAAAAAACUAUCUCCAAAUUGGAAAAGGCCUUACAGAAUAUUCGAAACACUUAGACUAGAUGCAUAUCGGCUGGAAACCUUUGGGAGAGCAGCUAUUCUUCGAAUGUGGAAUGCUCACAGUCUAAAGAUGUAUUAUCAAUAAAGCUGUUCAUAUAUAUAGUAUUUAGAAUGAAAUAUUGAAUUUUAGAAUUACAAAAGUUUCGACCAACUACAAAAUGAUUUUAGAUCGAUAAAAUGGACAGUCAAUUUCUAUCGACUAUAUUUUAAUUUUUCACUGUAAAAAUUGACAUAUCGACUAUAUUUCAGUUUUCACUGUAAAAAUCAAAAUAUCAUCUGUAUCUCGGUACCAACUAUAUCUCGACUUUUUACUAUAAAAGCUGACUCUAGUCGAACGACUAUUAUGCCGAUUUAGUUUUAACUAAGCAAAACAUUAUGCCGAUAUGAUCCAGAUAGAUUAAAAUUAUACUGACUUGACUAUAGUCGGUCGAAGGAUAUUCAGCUUACCAUCAAUUAUUAAAUAAUCAGACGUACUGACCUGACUAUGGUUGGUCGAAGGAUAUUCGACUUAUCACCAUUUAUCCAAAUAUCUAAAAGGUAAAGUAUGUCUAUUAAUAUUUGACUAACGGAUGAAUUCUAUAAGUACAUUUGGCUUGCCGAUCGAUAUUCGGUAGUUAAAUAAUAAUUCUAUGACAUUGCAGAGAUAGAAGGAAAGAGAAUUUAUACUUAGAAAAAAAAAUUUCAUUCAUUGAAAAGAAGAUUACAAAAUUAGAUCGAAGUCAAAUUACAAAAGUUUUUGAUUACAAAAAAAAUGAAAAUAUUACAUUAAUCACCAAUCAUCAUCUUUGUCUCCUUGCUCUAGCGCAGCAUCGACAACUGGAAUAUCUUUUGGUACAUUCAAUGCAACAUCUUCAGUCGGUGUAGCUUCUUCUUCGGUAACUCCAUCUUCCAGGAUAGGAGGGAUGAUGCUGCUCAAGUCCAAAUCUGGGUACAGCUUUCUGAUCAUAUCUCGAUUGUCUUCAUACCCAACGUAAUAAAAAGCGAAUCCGUCUUCAAAGAUUUCUUCUUUAAACUCUUCAGAGUUCUUGUUGUUCUCUAUGGCUUGGUUCAAGGCUUCCCUUACCGACUCUACUUCCGCUCUCACCAACUCUGUGUCAGCUCUUACAGAAGUCGACUCAUCAUCGGCUAGUGCCAACAUUUCUAGGGUGGCCCGAUGUCUUCCACAUUCGGCUUCGAGUUCAUCGAUACAGCCAUCCCUUUCUCGUCAAAGCUGGUGGAAUGAGUGCUUCUUGCUCUUGGUCAGCAACUUAAGAGACAAGAUGUUCUGACGAGCCGACUCAAGUUCAGCUCUGGAAGAUUGAAGAUUGACGGUCAGAUGGGAGACUUUCUCCUGAAGCUUCGCCUCCCGCUCGAUCGCCGUCUAGAGUUGUUCAAGGGCAACCAUCUUCUUAGCAUUGGCGGCCGCCAUCUUGUUCAUCUAGGUCCGACGGAACUCUGCAACCUUUUGAUAGCCGACCUUUAGGUCAUGCAUAUCGUGCACCCACUGAAAGCAGAAGAUAAGUCAGAUUAGAUGAAAAAAAAUAUUGAAGAACUUAUCCUGAGUAUCGUCAGGUAAAAGAAAAAAAAUAUUUUGGUAAUGGUACGGUUCUUCCUAUUCUCCCGAUCAGCCAGGAGAAGAGUAGCUUGGAUGAGUCACCUGGCCAAUAUCAGAUUGGUCAAGGCCGACUCACCCUCAGAAACUCUAAUAUCAAAAAGAACUGAGUGACUCAUCGAUGAUCCAUCGUCUGUCGAAGUCAUCGGUGCCUUCCCCCGGUCUCCUGUCGGCAGCCCCGCACUUGAUAAUGUGGGAAAAUUGAAGCUCGACUAUGCUUGAGAAGGUUCUGUUGGAGGAACGACCGACGCAACCAUUGAUUAUUCAGGCUUGACUGCGACUUCCACCAUGGUCCGAACUUUCACUGGUAGAGCUGUCGAUGGUACUACUGCAGCUCCAUCUUCUUCUGCCGUCCCAGCUUCAAUGGACGGCACCUCAGGGAGCAUUGUCGGGGCCGACAAUGUCAAAAUUGGCUCAAGAACCGACACUGACAGUACAUCAAAUUCCCUCGCUGGUGUAGUUGAAGCAGCUGCCCUACCCCUCUUCAGCGGUCGGAAAGAUCCAGCUUCGGAUGCUACCUUCUUCUUGGCAACAUGCUGAAUGCUUCCGAUCAAGGGAUCAUCACGGAGGAUAGUGAUCAAUCCAUUUGAGAUAGGUACACGGUUCACCUCUCUAGUGGGUAGAUGAGUCUUGGGUUUACAAUGUAGAGAUAUUGGGGGAAAGAUGCAUGUGGUUGUUAGAGAACAACUUGCACUGAGCGUGACCAACACAAGAACCACAUGGAUAUCUACUCAUUUGUCAGUGGUCUUCUCGAUACUACAGUGGUAUGAGUGGUCCUUUGACCUACGGUGAUAUUGGCUAUUCACAGCGAGGCUACUGAGUUUGACUGCAUGUUUCCUUGAUCCCUAACCAUUCGGGUCCUUGCUGUGUAUGUUAGCUUCAGUAGGUUCAGGUUCGUUGUUUGGAGUAGGAUGUACCUAGAUGAAAUUUAUCGAUCUUGGUAGAAAAGGAGAAGUCCUAUGUGAUUUGCGAGAUUGAGUUCAGAAAGUCUUUGGCCAAAGCAAGUAUGAAUAUUGAAAAAGAGUUUCCAUGAGAUUCACAAAUGAACUUGAGUCGAGUCGAUCUUACAUAAGACUGACGAUGGGGUUUGACGAGUUCUCCAUGACCUCUGUCAAGUCGGGACUCACGAUAGAAGGAUUAAAUCAUACGAUAACUAUACGUAGGAGUUCAUAUUUUCAUUCUACUGAGUCACCACUACAUACUGCUAGAUGUCACUGGUAGAUUGUGAAACUCAUCGGAUAUCAUCUUGAUGAUCGAUGGCCCUCGAAGGGUAGAAUUAAAAAUAUUCUAAUCCAUCGAAAAGAGUUUUGAUGAUAUUGUGAUAGAGAUCAUAAUAUAUCUCACUACCAGACAGAACGGAACCUAUGGAGUCACACAUUAAGAGAUUUAAUCUCAAAUUUGUCAAUUGGGCUUAUGAAGUUUCAAUUGGGUUAAGGUUUAUUUGAAACUCUAUUAGGUUUAUGAGAAUCAUGCUAGCACAUGGUUAAACCUAAUUCUUCUUGGAACUUUGAUUUGAUCAAGUCCAUAGCUUUGAACCUAACCUAAAUUCAUUUGAAUUUAAUUGGGCUCUUAAUUAUAAAUCCAAGAGGAUUUAAUUAAGUCAAUUAGUUGGCAUAAUUAUCUUAAUAUUAUCUCUUCCAUAUCUCCUAAUUAUCUCUAAGUAUGCAUGUGGAAUAGAUAGAAAAAUGGGUGGCGUAAUUUUUUCUUUUUAAAAAUUAUUGAGCGUCAUAUCCUAGAGGGGCCUCCCCCUCUUAUGUGUCAUGGCAUGAAGGAGAGAUGGUGGGGUCCAUGCCCCAUCUCUUAUGGCUGGAGAUCCCUUUGUGGGGCGUCAAGAGUUGGCAUCCCAACCAUCUAACAUGUAUUCCAUGGAUGACUAUUGUACAUGCUUAAAAGGACUGAUUAAUUAUCUUUUAUAUCUGAUUUUAUUUGACAUAAAUCAUAUUUAAAAGGUAGAAGAUUCUUAUGAGAUAAAGAUCUAUCUUUUUAAAAUGACAGGGUUCCUAAUAUGUGUCAGGGCUUAUAUCUAUUUAAAGGGAGGUCUCUAGGAUUUCUUAGUAUUAAUUUUUGAUCAAAAAAAUCUUCUCUCUCUCCAUCUCCAUACCUUCUCUUUCUUAUAUUCUUCUUUUUCAUGCCCAAAAAUUGGGUGUUCUCUCUUCCACACGCCUAGAAGGAGUUCUGAUGACUUAAAGAUCAAAGAUCGAGGAGAAGAAGAAGAAGGCUACAGAUCAAGGAGUUGAUCUCUCAAUUAAGAUCAAAAGAGUUGAUCAGAGUCCUUAAGGCCAAUGUUUUUCUUGAAAAGAAGAAUCUCCUAUGAGAAGAAAAGUUCGAGAUUGAUCCCGAUGGAUAUCUGUAGAGGUCGGACACAUGUGCAGUUCCAUCUUCUAUGAAUCCGAAAUCAUCUGAAGCGGUAAAUUUUUAUCCACGUAAAGGUAAUGAGAUAUGAUCUCAUAUUUUUCUUAAAUUUUAGAUUAAUUAUAUGUAUUUUUUUUUAGACUUGGGUAGGUUUAGAUCUGGUAUCUUGCAUGUGGGGUUAAAGAGUUUAACCUGAUUUAUUUUUUGCUAUAUAUUUUUAAAAUUUUAAAAUCUACACAUGCUGUCUACCCUGUUUUCUAUCGAUGGUAUCAAAGCCAGAUUUUUUAAAAACACAUAUGAUCUGAUUUUUAGGUUAGAUCUGAAAGUUUUAAUGAUUUAAAAUCAAUUUUAUGAUAAUAUAAGGUUGUCCUGGUAUAGGAUUUACCCCCUAUACUGAAAGAUUGUCCUAGCACGAGAUUGAUUGAUUUUGAAAAUUAUUUUUAAAAUAAUUAAAUCAAAUCUUUUAGAUCUAAAAAUUAAUAUAUAUGAUAUGUUUAUUUUUGAUUUAGAUCUAAAAUUAGAAUGAUUAAAAGUUCACAUCAAAUUGAUAUAAAGUUAUCCUGAUAUAGAAUUUACUCCCUAUAUUGUAAAGGUUGUCCUAGUUUGAUAUAAAUUAAUUUUUGAAAAGAUACUUUCAAAAUAUUUUAACCAUUAUUUUAGAUCUGAUUUUAUACAUAUUUGACAUGUGUAAAUUUAGUUUUAGAUAUGAAAUUAAUGUAUUUGUGAUGCAUAUUUAAUUUAGAUCUGAAACUACAUAUAUUCGAUAUAUGAAACUAGGUUUACAUCUGAAACAAUUUCAAGAUCAUAAGCCAUUAAUAGUAUGCAAUGAAAUAUAAUCUAAAAUCAUUUUUAGAUCUAAAAUUAAGUUGUUGCAUGUGGGUAUGGGUUGAACAAAUUAGGUCUAAGUGAUCAAACUACAAUUAGGGUCUAAUUGAUUAGAUCAGGCUAAAAUCUAUUUUUCGAUUUUGAGCAGUUGAUUGAAUCUAAUCGAUGAAUGAUUAUGAUUAGAUCAAAGGGGUUCAAAGUUGACUUUAGUUGUAGUUGGUCGCAUUGAUUCAUAUUUUGAUGUGAGUUGAUUGACUCAAGAUCAAAAUUUGGUUCAGUGGCUCGGAUCCGUUUCAAUAGGUUAAUCUAAUCGAUUCUAAUCGAUCAAUUUAGUAUCUAAGACAAGUAUUUAGAUGGUGGUUAUUUAAUUAGUUUUAUUAUUUGAUCUGAUCAAUUUUGAUUGGUGUCUAAAGAAAGCAUCGGGGGACCCCCACACAUCUUAACUUACCUGACCAUAUUGAAAGAUUUAGUUUCGUAUUAGGUUACUUGUUGACUUGAGUUCACCCAUGCCAGCUAGGCUGGUUAGACAUAUUGAUGUACUAAUCUAAUUUAAUCAGUCGGAUGUCAAAUCUGUUGAUUUAGAAGAGACCUAAACUCAAAUCUCUUCAUUAAAUAUUAAGUCUAGAGGUCUUCCAUCGUUGUAGAGAUGCAGACGCCUUCUUAACGUUGAUCGUUCUCGGCUGGUUACAGUGAUUCGAUUGCAUCGAAAAGGUACAAUCACUCUAUUGACAUGUGAUGUCUCGGGGUAGAGAUAGGGUUGGGCCCACUAACUGUUAGGUGAGCAUCCCAAUGAUGGCUUUGCAUCCAUUGGUGAAUGAUGGGUUUGACUUAACUAAGGAAUGUGCCAAUAACUGUUAGGUGGGGUCACAGGUCUUAGAGAUUUAGUCCGCUGCAUCUUACUUAGUGAAGCAAUGGAUAAAGUGUUAUCCACUCAUCGAUCUGUAUUCAUUAAUAACUGUUAGGUGAGAUGUGUAUAGAUUAAUAAGAUCGCAGUACCCACUUGAAAUCGAUCGCGUAUAGGUUUUCAUUUCUCCACCUGAGGAGUGUGGGAGAUUCAAAAAAAUAGUAAAAAUUUUUUAUUUAUUUUUAAAGUUUCUAAAACAAACAAUAUUAUAAGUAUAAAAUCUAAUUAGAAACUGUUCUUUCUGCAGAUAACCAUGUCGAGUUCAAAUCCUUUAGCUCGAAUCUUCGAUACAAAUAAGUUGACCGGUACCAAUUGCAAAGACUGACUCCGAAAUUUGAAAAUUAUUCUCAAUUCUGAAAAGCUCACCCAUGUCCUUGAUCAGAAAGUGUCUGAGUUACUUGCUCGUCCAUCCGCUGAUCAACGAGCUACACUUGAGAAGUAGAUGAACGAAGAUAACAAAGCAAAGUGCUACAUCUUAGCGUCUAUGUCCAAUGAUCUUCAGCAAUAGUACGAAGACAUAAGGACUACCAAAGAAAUGCUAGUUCACCUGCAAGAGUUGUAUGAUGAACAGAGUCGCACAACUCAUUUUGAAGUCUCUCGAAGACCUUUCAGAGCAAAGAUGCGUGAUGGACAGGCCAUCAGUGAUCAUUGUUUGACAAUGANNNNNNNNNNNNNNNNNNNNUCUAAUCCUCCAGUCUCUUCCUGACUCAUAUGGAUAAUUCAUUAUGAACUACCAUAUGAAUAAGAUUAAUGCUACUUUAUCAGAGUUAUUGAAUAUGCUGGUGACUGCAGAGGGCACCUUAAAAAGUUCAAGGGGCACAGUUCUGGCUGUGGAGCGGGCUUCCUCCAAAAGAAAGUCUUCUUUCAAGAAGAAGAAAAAACUCACAAAGAAGUAAAAGAACGAGGCUAAGCCCAAGAAACAGGUUCCGAAGAAGGCCGACGAUAAAGAAAAAUAUUUCUAUUGUAAUGUCGAAGGCCACUGGAGAAGGAACUAUCCGGCCUACCUGGCAAUUGUCAAGAACAAGAAGAAGGAUAGGUCUUCUGAAGGUAUGUGUAAGUUGCUUGUUAUAGAAACUAACUUAAUAGUUUCCUCUUCUUCUAGUUGGGUUCUUGAUUCUGGUUCAAGUGCUUAUUUGUGCACUUCAAUGUAAGAUCUUGAAGAAGUUAGGGGGCUGAGGGAAGGCUAGAUCAUUCUUCGAGUCGGUAAUGGAGCAAGGGUUGCUGCUGUGGCCGUUGGAACCUACCCUCUACGAUCACUGUUGGAAUUUAGUUUGUUUUUAAAAGACUGUUACUUUGUAUCUAUAGCCAGUAGAAAUUUGAUUUCUAUCUUUGUGCUGGCAUAGGAUAAUUAUAAUUUUUAUUUUAAUAAAGGCAUGUGUUCUAUUUAUUUUGAAAAUAAACUUGUGGCACGUGCUUUCUUGAUUGACGGUCUUUACCAUUUGCAUACCGAUGUAAGUGUAAAUAUUAAUGAGCAAAUUGUGAAUGCCAUAGGAUCUAAGAGAUUUAGAGAUAGGAUUAGCACAAAGUAUCUAUGGCACCUUAGGCUAGGCCAUAUUGGAGAUGACAGACUCAACAAGUUGGAGAAAGAUGAUCUUCUUGGAUCAUUGACUUCCGAGUCUUAUCCAGUCUGUGAAUUAUAUCUUCAAAAAAAAUGGCCAAGCUGCCUUUUAUGGGACAAGGAGAAAGGGCCACUAAGAUAUUAGCUCUGGUACACACUGAUGUGUAUGGUCCAUUUGAUGUAGAAGCCAGAGGUAGCUAUAUCUACUUCAUAACAUUUACUGAUGAUUAUUCACGGUUUGAUUUGUGUAUCUGAUGCACCAAAAGUCUGAAGCCUUUGAAAAGUUCAUAGAAUUCAGACAUGAAGUAGAAAAAUAGAUCAAAAACUACAUAAAGGUUCUUCAAUCAGAUCGAGAAGGAGAAUACCUUAGUAAAAAAUUUUAGACCUAUCUCAAGGAAAAUGGCAUAGUCUCACAAUGGAUACCUCCAAGGACACCUCAACUCAAUGGGGUAUCUGAAAGGAGGAAUCGAAUCCUAUUGGAUAUGGUUCGGUCCCUAAUGAGCUUCACAAAUCUUCCUGACUUUCUUUGGGGACAUGUUUUGUUGUCUGCGAUUCAUCUCUUGAAUCGGGUUCUCUCUAAAUUCAUUCCUAUCACACCAUAUGAGUUAUGGCAUGGUAAGAAAUCAACUCUUGGGUACCUCAAGAUUUGGAGAUGUCCAGCCCAUGUCAAGAGACAGCAGGCGGACAAGUUAGAGGUUAGGUCCUUUAGGGCUCGUUUUAUAGGAUAUCCUAAGAAAAUCAUGGGAUACUACUUCUAUAUUCUUGAGGAUCACAAUAUGAUUGUGAGCCAUCAUGUCGUAUUCUUGAAAAAAGAAUUUAUCCAAGAUGGAGGCAGUGGGAGGAAGAUUGAGGUCAAAGAGAAAGUCUCUGAAGAGCAUCGAGUCCGAGAACCUGAACCUAGUAACGAACCAGUAGAUGUGAUACCUCCGGNNNNNNNNNNNNNNNNNNNNNNNNNNNNNNNNNNNNNNNNNNNNNNNNNNNNNNNNNNNNNNNNNNNNNNNNNNNNNNNNNNNNNNNNNNNNNNNNNNNNNNNNNNNNNNNNNNNNNNNNNNNNNNNNNNNNNNNNNNNNNNNNNNNNNNNNNNNNNNNNNNNNNNNNNNNNNNNNNNNNNNNNNNNNNNNNNNNNNNNNNNNNNNNNNNNNNNNNNNNNNNNNNNNNNNNNNNNNNNNNNNNNNNNNNNNNNNNNNNNNNNNNNNNNNNNNNNNNNNNNNNNNNNNNNNNNNNNNNNNNNNNNNNNNNNNNNNNNNNNNNNNNNNNNNNNNNNNNNNNNNNNNNNNNNNNNNNNNNNNNNNNNNNNNNNNNNNNNNNNNNNNNNNNNNNNNNNNNNNNNNNNNNNNNNNNNNNNNNNNNNNNNNNNNNNNNNNNNNNNNNNNNNNNNNNNNNNNNNNNNNNNNNNNNNNNNNNNNNNNNNNNNNNNNNNNNNNNNNNNNNNNNNNNNNNNNNNNNNNNNNNNNNNNNNNNNNNNNNNNNNNNNNNNNNNNNNNNNNNNNNNNNNNNNNNNNNNNNNNNNNNNNNNNNNNNNNNNNNNNNNNNNNNNNNNNNNNNNNNNNNNNNNNNNNNNNNNNNNNNNNNNNNNNNNNNNNNNNNNNNNNNNNNNNNNNNNNNNNNNNNNNNNNNNNNNNNNNNNNNNNNNNNNNNNNNNNNNNNNNNNNNNNNNNNNNNNNNNNNNNNNNNNNNNNNNNNNNNNNNNNNNNNNNNNNNNNNNNNNNNNNNNNNNNNNNNNAUAAGGACAUUAAGAAUGAUCUCAAAAUCUAUGAUGAGGUAAUAUUAGAUGUAGACUCCGAGAAAUAGAUGGAAGCAAUGAAGUCAGAAAUUGACUCCAUGCAUUCCAACUAGGUUUGGUCCUUAGUAGAUCCACCUGAAGGUAUUGUACCUAUUGGGUGUAAAUGGAUUUACAAAAGGAAGAUUGGGUCGGAUGGUAAGAUAGAGACCUAUAAGGCAAAGCUAGUUGCGAAAGAUUAUAGUCAAUACGACGGCAUCGACUAUCAUGAAAUCUUUUCUCCCAUAGCCAUGUUGAAAUCCAUCCGUACUCUGCUUACUAUAGCAACAUUUCAUGAUUAUGAAAUUUGGCAGAUGGAUGUGAAAAUUGCUUUUCUAAAUGGAUAUCUUGAGGAAAAUAUCUAUAUGGAGCAGCCUCUAGGUUUCAUGUCCAGUGAUAGUGAUCACAAGGUUUGCAAGCUGCAAAAGUCCAUAUAUGGACUCAAGCAAACAUCUCAGAGUUGGAACACUCGCUUCAAUGAUGUGAUCAAAAUAUUUGAUUUCAUCAAAAAUAAGGAGACAUGUAUGUAUAAAAAGAUCAAUGGGAGCGCUAUCACAUUUCUCGCAUUGUACGUGGAUGACAUCCUCCUGAUUGAGAAUGAUAUUUUCAUGCUGACAUUGGUCAAAGUAUGGUUGUCGGAAGAGUUCGCCAUGAAAGAUCUAGGAGAAGCUUUCUACAUUCUUGGUAUAAAAAUCUAUAGAGAUAGAUCUAAGAAAAUGAUAAGACUCUCACAGCAUAUGUACAUAGAAGAGGUGUUGAAGAAAUUCAGCAUGGAAAACUCUAAGAGGUGUCUUUUGCCCCUUAGACAUGGCAUUCAUCUCUCCAAGAAGAUGUGUCCAGAUACACCUGAGGAGAUCCAAUACAUGAGCAAGAUCCCUUAUGCUUCAGCAAUAGGGAGCCUCAUGUAUGUCAUGUUAUGUACACGUCCUGAUAUAACACUUGUCGUGAGUGUCACGAGUAGAUAUCAGGCAAAUCCAAAUGAAGAACACCAGAUUGCUGUUAAAAAUAUCCUCAAGUACUUGAGAAAAACUAAAGAUUUAAUGUUGGCUUUUGGUGGAGGAUCGGAGCUAGAAGUUGAGGGAUACACCGAUUCAGAUUUUAUGGCUGAUGUCGAUGAUAGAAAGUCUACAUCAGAGUGUAUCUUUUUGUGUAAUGGUGGUGCGGUUAGCUGAAAAAGUUUCAAGUAGCCAAUCAUUGCUGAUUCGACCAUAGAAGUCGAGUACAUCACCGUCUCUGAAGCUGCUAAGGAAGCUUUUUGGUUUAAGAAGUUCGUUGCAAAGCUAGGUAUGAUGCUAUCAGAUGUCAUUUCACUGCACUAUGACAACAAUGGUGCCAUAGCCCUUGCUAAGGAGCUCAGAUCUCACCAGAAGUCCAAAUACAUAGAGCGGCGAUUUCACAUCAUACGCGAAUAUCUCGAGAAGAAAUUCAUCAAGGUGCAGAGAGUUGAUUCCACGCUAAAUGUAGCGGAUCCGCUAACCAAACCUCUCAGCCAACAGAAGACUGAAGCUUAUCUUGAGAAGAUGGGUCUAAGGUAUAUGAUCAAUUGGCUUUAGAUCAAGUGGGAGUUUGUCGGAUUUGUGUCCUAGAAGUCAAUUAUUGGCUGACACAUUAUGUAUUUUUAGGGUCUAAAUUUGUACUUGUAAUACUUUCAUUAUAAAUAAAGAACUUUUUCUUUCUAAUCAUGCUUAUAUGUCCAUGAUUUGUCCUAAACAUUAACAAAGAUGAUUUUUGUAUAUUUUUAAAGAGUUAAAAAUUUAAGACAUACAUUAAUUAGUGGUUAAUUUCUAAAUGCUGCCGAUUAAGAGAUCAUCACUGAGGACAGUGAUCAAUCUAUUUGAGAUCGGUGUAUGGUUCACCUCCUUUGUGGACAGAUAAAUCUUGAGUCUACAGUGUAGAGACACUGGGGUGAAGGUGUAGGUGGUUGUUAGAGAAUAACUUAUACUGAGCGUGACCAACACGAGAACUACAUGGAUAUCUACUCACUCAUCAAUGGUUUUCUCGAUGCUGCAGUGGUAUGAGUGAUCAUUUGACCUGCGGUGAUAUUGGCUAUUCACAGCGAGACUACUGAGUUUGACUGCACGUUCUCUUGGUUCCUAGCCAUUCAGGUCCUUGCUAUGUAUAUUGGCUUCAGUAGGUUCAGGUUCGCUGUUUGGAGUAUGAUGUACCUAGAUAGAAUUUAUCGAUCUUGGUAGAGAAGGAGAAGUCCUAUGUUAUUUGCGAGAUUGAGUUCAGAAAAUUUUUGGCCAAAGCAAGUAUGAAUACUGAAAAAAAAUUUUUAUAGGUUCACAAAUGAACUCGAGUCGAGCCAAUCUUACAUAAGACUGACGAUGGGGGGUUUGACGAGUUCUCCAUGACCUUCGUUAAGUCGGGACUCAUAAUAGAAGGACUAAAUUAUAUGAUAACUGCACCUAGGAGUUCAUAUUUUCAUUUUAUUGGAUCGCCACUACAUACUGCUAGGUGUCACUAAUGGAUUGUGACACUCAUCGGACGUCAUCUUGAUGAUUGAUGGCCCUCGAAAGGUAAAAUUGAAAAUAUUCUAAUCCAUCGAAAAGAGUUUCGAUGAUAUUGUGAUAGAGAUCACAAUAUAUCUUACUACCAGAUAGAUUGGAAUCUAUGGAGUCACACAUUAAGAGAUUUAAUCUCGAAUUUGNNNNNNNNNNNNNNNNNNNNNNNNNNNNNNNNNNNNNNNNNNNNNNNNNNNNNNNNNNNNNNNNNNNNNNNNNNNNNNNNNNNNNNNNNNNNNNNNNNNNNNNNNNNNNNNNNNNNNNNNNNNNNNNNNNNNNNNNNNNNNNNNNNNNNNNNNNNNNNNNNNNNNNNNNNNNNAUGAGAAGAAAAGUUUGAGAUUGAUCCUGAUGGAUAUCCGUAGAGGCCGGACACGUGUGCGGCUCCAUCUUAUAUGAAUCUGAGAUCAUCUAAAGCGGUGAAUUUCUAUCCGCGCAAAGAUAAUGAGAUAUGAUCUCAUAUUUUUUUUAAAUUUUAAAUUAAUUAUAUGUGCUUUCUUCUGUGCUUGGGUAGGUUUAGAUCCGGUAUCUUGCAUGUUGGGUUAAAGAGUAGGUUUAGAUCUGGUAUCUUGCAUGUUGAGUUAAAGGGUUUAACUCGAUUUAUUUUUUGCUGCAUGUUUUCAAAAUUUUAAAAUCUACACAUACUGCCUAUCAUAUUUUCUAUCAAAUACUCGUGCUUUCGACUACAUAGAUGCAAUUAGAAUAAGGAAGUCAGUACAGUUUAAAAACAAAUAAAAAAAAAUGAAAGUGAUCAACUAUGCUAUACCUAAAGAGGUGACCGAAUUAAGGCCGGCAUCGUAGAGAGCUUGUCCGAUCAUCAGCUCUCUCUGUGGCAAAACUGCCAUGUCCUUCAGUCGAUGAAAAUCUUUCCGAUCAUCGACCUCCACCCGACUAUUUUCGUUGGGGUUGGUUCUUGAAUCACCCCAGCAUGAAGGAAAGCCCCAGGGAAGAGAAGAAUAAACAAAAAAGAAUUGAUUUUUUUAUCCAUGAAUGGACGAUGGAAGAUCGGUGAUGAAAGAAAGAUCUUUUCUUGGGUUGAAAAAUCAUCAACUCUUGGCUCUAGAAUGAGGUCGAAGAACAAAGAAAGUACAGAAAAGAGAAGGGCGAGGCUCAAUCGAUAUGAGCCGACACAAUAAAGCAAAAUUAAUUAUCAGCUAAACAAAGUUCGACGUCAACUGAGCAAGGUAAAGGCCGUAAUAAUCGAGAAGAUUUCGGACAAACUCCGAAAUUGAGAACCGAAGACCGGUCCGAAGGUCUUCGAUAUAGAAGGCAAUCUGGCCCGGAGGAGGGGAGUUCAUCUGACCAUCGAAACCAGGAGCAAAGAGCUGAUACUGCUCCGAGAUCCGAUACUGCUCUUGGAGCCGUUCAACAUGAGGUCCGAAUAGGGAAGAAGCUUCCACUUCUGGAUCCGAUGGAGAUUCGUCAGCCGAAUUUUUGACCGACUAUCUCGAGAAGAAGAAGCCCUAGCCAUAAAGAAAGAAAACUAAAAAAACUAAAAAGGAGACGAACCCAAGAAGAAGGACAAGAAAAUUUGACCUGAAGCUAAGAAGGGGCGAAGAGAAAACCCUGGAGCUUCGGUACUGGGGUGAUCUUCCGGCAGAGCUUCCGCAGCAGAAGAUGGUGACAAAAUGCAAAGUAAAAGUUUGGCUGAAAAUAAUCCUAUAUAUAUAGGAUUUAUCAACGUUCCAGAUAAAAUCGAUCAAAUCGAAAUCUCAUCAGAUGAUAGCACGUGGCAACAUCCGAACCGAUCAUUGGUUGGACGGUUCGACGCACCUGCUCUUGAUCGUGCCACCUCACCAUCAUCCGCAUGAACAGCUCCGAUCCAAUGAUGUUCGGACACGUGGUCAAGAUCUACUAGUCAGAAUCGUAUCAUCUGAUGCCAAAUUAUCUUUCUGAAACGACGUCCGGUACCAAAUUGUCCUGUCAAAAUGAUAGCCCAAUAAUGAUUUUGUAGCUACCGAAAUGACAAAACAACCAGAGAACUCUCGUACUCCAAAAAGACUAGUAGCCAAAUCGGAGCUCAAGAUAACACGUGAUGACUCUCUUUGUUCAACGUGACAAACCACAUGAUAAUGUAUACGUCAGAUCACCUUGGACUUGGGAGUGAGGGGCAACUGUUGGGAUAAGUCAACCAACCCUCGACUUCGACUCUACGUCGGUCACAUGAAUAUAUUACGCCGACUCACGAUCGAUGAACCGACCAACAGUUGACUACUAUCAACUAUCAACUAACAAUUUGGUUAAUUCCCGAUCGAAGACCAUCGGCAUAUCAGAGUUACCAACCGAUACUCAUUCGGAUCUACUACCGACUUAUCAGUAUUACCAACAUAUAGUAGGCCUAUCUUUUCAACAUAUCCUAACCGUUAUGAAUGAUUAUCGACUACGUGUCAUGGUUAUUAGUGGGUAGAAACAACCCAUUAACUCCACGAUUAUGGUCCGAUAAUUAGCGUCAUAAAAAGUGGAACCAUGUGCUCGACGGUUACAUCAAAAUCAUCUAUAAAAGGAGAGGUAAAUGAGCAGUACGGGUAAGGCAAUUCUGUGCUAAGACUCUGUCAUUCUAAACACUCUUAAUCUGCUGUUCACCAAUCUCCUCUCUGACUUAAGUAUCGGAGGGUCCCCGCUGGACACAACUCCGAUCUGUGAAGACUUUGUCUUGCAAAUGCUCUUCACCAACGACAAGCGACAGGGGAUUAGCCGCAACAAGUACCCAAAAAUAUUUUCAAAAAAGCUCGCGAAGAGUGCCGUUUUAGUAUUAGACUAGGAUAUUUACAAAUUAUUUUAUCUCCCGAAACUCAAUUUCCAGGUGCCGAGUACCUUAGGAUCAAUUGCACAUCCCCUGGAUUUUAACAUUCUGGAAGAAAGAGGGGGGGAAAAAUUAGAAGGUUGCGACUUGGGAGUAAACCCCAUAAGGCCUUUUGGCCCGCCCUGUUCUACCUAAUCACAAGGUUUUAAAACUGAACACCUUGGCAUAUUUGCUGUGCCAUUUUAUUUCAAGCCUUUGCAAAUUAAGGUGAAUUAUAGGCUUAGAUUUGGCAAUCAUUGUAUCCAGAUCCUUGCUGAACAAUUGGAUGUAUCACCAAACCUUCAAUUUGGCAUCACUGAUUAACCCUGGGUGUAGGCUGGAUUUGAGUUUAGAUCACUGGAUACCAUGAAUGAUUUUAACACAUAUACUAAUUAGGGCAGGGGCGAAGAGGGGGAGGGAAAGAGGAGAAUUUUUCUUUUUUUCUCCAAUUAAGGUUCUUAUUCCAGUCGCUGCAGCCUGUCCGAAAUGUGAACCUGUCCUAAAUGGCUCCACUUCCCGGACUAUCACGUGCUCGACUCGUGAUCUAUGAUGGCACUCUCGUUGGCCAGCACGCGACUAAUCCAUUGGUUUCCCCUGUUUCAACUAUUUGCUCUAUUGAUUGGGGACCUACCAGAGGGGUCUUGCAUAAUUAAACAUCAGCUGCAAGCAUUUUGGGUAAUGUCCGAUACUACAAAUAUGUCAUAUUAGUGACUAAAAUUAGUAAAGGAAAAAAAAAUACGGAUUAAACUUACAUUCCGAUGUGUGUGUCAGUAUACCAGAACCUGGAUUAACUCCAGUAAUAACGAAACACAGUUCUUCAUGCACCAGAUGCAAUACAAGACGAAUCUUUCAAGGCAAUUUCUCAAAAGAGUCUCUCUCUCUCUCCCUCUCUUUGAUAGCGUAAUCAAUCUUAUAUACGGAUGCAUUAACUUUAUAGUUCAUAACAGAGUCGUCCACUUAUCUUGGUGAUACAAUCAUUUUUCGUUCUUAUCACUUAUAACAUAUGAGGGCAUAAAGUUCCAAUACAACAAUAAGCGCGAUAAUGUUUUAGAUAAAAGUAGUUCAAAGAUCUCCCUUGAUGAAAAGAAUCGAAGACCCUCGGACAUCCAAAGGCUCAACAUUAUUCCUUGGCCCUCUCUCCUUCGCCCUUUCGAAUGACUCGGUCUACUCUUUUGUCACAUUGCUACCAUCCUCCUCCACCCCAUCACCCUCCUCUCCGGUUGCCCGAGUCUCCUUGUGUUGACUCUCUUGAUCCAAUUGGCCACAAUCCUCUCCACCACUCUCUUCCUCCUCCUCCGUCUCCUUCUGUGGACUCUCUUGAACCGAUUGACAACCCUUUGUCUCCUCUUCUCCACUCUCUAUCUCAUCCUUCUCCUCCUCUGGCUGUUGUUGACCUCUUUCAGCACCGUCCUCCCCGAUCUUGACCUCCUCCACCUCUGGCAUCAGUUGAGCUGGUUCAUCACUUGCAACCUUCACCGCCGCCACCUGCUGCCGUUGACUUGGUUGAGUCUCCGGUUCUUGUAGUGAAAUAACGGACUCGAAUGCCCCCACAAGUGCUCUGACUUUGUUUCUCCUCGUUGCCAGCUUUGCCGCUGUCUCUUCUAUGACAUCAUUAUAGGCCGGUGGUGCACCCCUCUCUCUAACCUCCUGCCUCUUUAGCACUACGUUCUCUUGCUCCGCUUUCCCCUCUCCUGCCACCUCCACCACCUUCUCCCUUUGCUGAAACUUCAACCUUUCACCCAGUACUGCGUCCUUUCCAUCACCUUCUCUCCCUCGUCGGAAUCUCAGCUUCUUCGGCGCUCCCUCAUUGCCGCAAACCUUCUUUGACAACUUCCCUGGAGGAGCCCUUGGCUUCCCAGUAUCGCUCUCCUCUAAACUGGUGCGGUUCCUGCCUUCAGUGUUGCUCUUUGGGGCCUGUGAUCCAUGUCGGGCAGCAUGACCUUGCACCCCACUGUCGAUGAAGAGAACCUUUUCCUCUUGCUCUGGUUUGAUCGCACUGGUGGUGGAAGGGGUGCCAUUGGCUUCUCGUCUCUUUGGGAAACUUUUUGCCCUCGCGAGAUUUUUCCCAACUGUUGGAGCCUUCGAUGCUUUCUCUGGAACAACCUUUGGAGAAAGGGCAGCCUUCGGCGAGAGGUCCGUUCUUGAUGCCCUCCCUUUGGGGGUUUUAUCGGGGGAUGAUGGUGAGGCAGGCUUCUCCAUGGACUUCACAGAAAUAAGACGUUUCCUAGCGCCGGCUGAUGCUAUGGAAUCCUCAGCAUGCUGCUGCUGGCUCUUGGGGUAGCUGCAGGAGGUGUCAUGACAUGAGCUCAGGGUUGGCUUGAGAUAGUUGGGCAUUGGCUUUUCUUUUGCCAUGGGGAUGUCUCCAUUUGGGAUUGUUUGUCCCCCAUGAGAGAGAAGAACCCUUCGAGGGGUUAAAGGAGCCGAGAUGCCCUUCUCUUUGAGGCGGACUUCCUUCACUCCUGUAGCCAUGGGCUGAAAGUACCAAUAUGACAGCAAAAGUUGCUAUUUAGAAGGCAUAAUGCAAGGUUGAUGACGGGUAUUUGGGAUGCACUUCCUUGAAGUUCGUAAAUGGCUAGUGCAAUGUAAAUCUUUUUGUCUUACUAUUAAAUGGGAUUUUAUACCUAUCAUGAUUUAUUGACCUUUUUCUUUAUUAUCUUACACUAUAAUUUCAAAUCCCAUCUACUUUCGUUAGACAUGCUUGUACCAACGGCAAUCUUAACAAAGCUCAAGAAAGAACAGAGAAGUUAAUUGAUCUCUGCUCACCUCUUAUUGAUAAAUAGAGGAUAUUGACCUCUGAUCACCAUUGAUACAAUAUCACAAUGGACAAAGUGGAAAAACUCCAACAGAAAGCUAUGAGUGUAUCAGUAUGUCAAUAUCAUUGUGAUAUUAUAUCUUCAGAUCGUUUCAAAGUCUAUAUAAAUUUACAGAGAUGCUUAUGAAGAAAAAUGGGGAAAAUAAGGUUAAAACUCAUCCAGGCUUUACAUACGGAACGUAUCAUUUCCUUAACUUUUUUCACAGCUGAAAGUGUAUUUUACAUGAACUUUUAACCAUAUAAACAAGGGGUUGGGUUAUGACUCAUGGAUGGGUGUGAGCCUGCAGCCAUGAAUGACAGCAGAUAUCUGCUAAGGUGGAUGGCAACCCUGACCUGGAUUUCAUCUUGAGCUAAAAUUCAGAUGUGGCCGAGUCUCCUCCUCGAACCUAACCUUGAUGUCAAGUAGCAUUAGGAUCUUGUAAAAUUAUCAUUUUUAGAAGCAAAAUGUAUCAACCCAAAAAGUUCAAACAUUUGAGAUCGACUCGACAUAGAACAAAUCUCAUGAAACACGUCUUCUCCCCUAUAAAUUGGAUGGGCUGUGCAUCACAAGUCUAUGCCAGAAAGCUUUAUCGAACAACAAUCCAAAAAAUUUUCUGUGAUCAUUCUACUGCCUAACCUUUUCACGUAGUAUGUGUCAUUCAUGGCACACACAUUACAGAGAAGGGUGGCUCAAAAUCCAAACAAUAAAAGAUCUUAUGUUUGAACCAAAUAUCUCAUCAAAAAAAAAAAAAUACAGAGACAUACAAUCAAAAGACAACGUUAAAAGGAUCAUUAAUACAUUGAUUUUUACAUACAUGUACCGAAGACUAAUACAACAUGACGCCAUUCAAUCAACAUUUUAUAUAUUGUUUACAUGAAAGAGCAAGAAAGUCGCAAGUUCAUGAGAAAUUGCUGCAAAUAAAAAAAAUGAGAUUUACCUUGCGCUUGGAAUGGUCAAAACUUUGGUGUCAUGAAAUUUUCUUUGAGAUAGAGAUUGCUUCCCUUCCUUGAUCGGACGUCAUUAUGAAUGUAGGAAGGGAGCAAAGGGGUUGGAAGAUGGAGAGGGAGACAGAUAGGUUUUUUUGUAAGGGGAGGAGUUGGUUAGUUAUAUAUGGGUUAAUGCAGCCCCCAAUCUUCUAAACCGCGGUGGACCGGGUCAAUUUGCGGCAGUUGUUUAAUUCCGCCAGAAUAUGCCUGUCCUUGGCCUAAUUCUGGGAUGAAAUGGAUAAAAGAUAACCUGUAUUCAGGAAUUCAAGAAUCCUACUUUCCCGAACAUUUGAUUUGUCUAAUUUUUUGAAUUCUUGCUUUCUCUCACCUCUCGCGUUAGCAUACAAGAAAGAUAAUAGUGGAGAGUUAACGCUAUUGGGUCAUAUACUAAUUAAAAUAUUCUGAUCGUGCGAUAGUGAAAUUUAGACCGUUAAGAUGGUCAUUGUGACAUUAUACUGCCAUUACAUUAAGUUAUGGCUGAAAUGGAUUGGUUUGUGCACGCCAGACUUGGAUUAGGCAGCCUCCUAUGGAAGUAAACAUUGGUUUGACCUGCCUUGUUUUGCUUGCAAGUUAGAACUUGUUGUUUCACAAAUUAGAGAUUUGUUGGAGAAAAAAAGGAAAAAAUAGUAAUAGAAAAGAAGCGUUAAUGAUUUUCCAAGCUUCUUGGCACAUAAUGAAUGUCCUGUUAUUAUCCAUUAGAAGCAGUGCAGGUCUCUAGUACUUGUGACUACAAAAGAAAUUUUGGUGGCCUGGUGGACAAAUAUGGAUGAGAAUCAUUGCUACUAUUGUGCCUCGCAGUUCUUCGAGCAACUUAGGAAAUGAGAGCAAAACACAAGGGUUUGUGGAACAAAAUCUGUGCACAAAGAAAAUUCACAUCAUCAGCGUUAGCGCUCUCUCUUAUCAGUAACUUUUGUCAUUUUAAUCUCAGAAAACAAUAAGAUAAAUUCGUCCAGUUCUGUUUUAAUCAUCGGAGGUGGACCAACAGGUGUGGAACUUGCUGAAGAGAUUGCUGUUUACCAUCCUGAGACGAAAGUGACUCUAAUCCAUAUAAGGGCCAAGUUUGCCCGAAUUUAUAGGACCAGAAGCUUCAAAUAAGGCACUAAAAUGGUUGAAAUCUCAGGAAGUCAAAGUGGUUUUGGAGCAGUCAAUCGAUCUAGACUCCAUUUCCGAAGGAGAGAGCGUUCGCACCGUCUCCAGAAAAUUCUAUCAAAGCUGAUUUCCACUUUGUUCAUAUGGAUAGGCCUUUGGAUUCACCUCGGCUCCAGUAGACUAUCCUGAAGGAGAGCUUGAACAACUCUGGAACAUUGAUGGUGGAAAGUUGCUCAUCUAAUAGGUUUGUUCAUUGAAAUUACAUCAUUGUACUUCUCAAGUUAUUCCACAGUUCAAUAAAUAAAUGUUUCUACAUCGAAAUAUUAAUCUUAGACAUGUCAGCAAACUCUUCAAAGCAGAUGAAAAUUAAACUUGCCAUGAUUUCUUAAACAAGAAGAUUAUCUGGAUUAUUUUUUCAUGAAAUUCUUGUUCAAUAGAGAAAUUCACAUUUCCAGCAAUUAAUCACAAAUUCUGCAGACUCAAAAAGAAAUGCAGGGUUGCAAUUAGAGACCAAGCCUUAGCUAAAAAUGCAGAUCGCAUGACUUUAAUUUCUUUCUGCCCUUCAUGCAGCAAUAGCUUAGAGCACUUGGCAUGGGUCAUAAAUAGAGAUUGCCACGCAUCUGGCCCCCUUAAUAAGAACAUGCCUCCAACUCCGGCUUGAUAUGUUGAGCAAGUACUCGCGCUACUUGGAAAUCCAUCCUUACGAGGCAAAUCUUGUAAUGCGGACAGGAAAUCAAACAACGAUAUCUAGCAAAGAACCACGCUGCAGCGCCGGCCAAGAAGUUGAAGCUGUUAAUAAAGGGUGGUCAAGAAAGCAAACUGGCUACCCAUAAGCCUACUUCUGCCAGGGCAACAGGUUCCGAGGGAAGGAAGCACGGAAUGGGUUGCUUCCAAUUCUUGACAAUCUUUAGGAGUGUACCAGGCAUGACAAUCGUCUGAACCUACACUAAUUCUGCUCCUGGAAUGGAGAUGCUGCAUGCAAUACGCAUGUCUCCUGUAACAAUAGCAUGGUUGUGAUUAUAAUGAUUUCUCAUAUGUUGUGUGAUUGAUCCUUCUUUUGCCAUCUUUUUUUUUUUCUGGUCCUGGACAAUACUGCAAUAGAGAUGCACUCUUUAUGGUAUGGAACGACCAUAACCGUUUUGGUAAAGGAAAUCAAGUUCUGAGAUGCAUGUUGGUAAUCUACAUUCUGAGCUGUCGUUCUGAUCAGAAGUUGCACUUCAGUUAGAAUUUAUGGACUGGUGACGUCCAUAUCAAGAUUAGCCGCAUGGGUUGACUUCUUGGUGCAUCUGUUAUUCUGUCUUAUGAAGACAUCGCAUUUAUAGUGCCCCAAAACUAGGAAUGUCAGAGGUCGCAAUCACUUAACGGAACUCCAUGACAAUGGAUGAUCAGGACUAUACUGACCUUUGAAGAAUGACACCUUGCUGGAAAGAUAGCAUUAGUAACCUGGAAGGAGAACAGAUAUCAACCAUAGGUGAAUAUCUAACAGUAACCUUACUUUGAACUCGGGGGAACAAAAAAGUUUGAACUCAAAGAUUGAGAGAUUCCUCGAACCCACAAAUGACAGGUUCCGUUUUCAGAUCUUACUUGGCAAUAACUUCCGAGAAAAAGCGGCCGUGUCAGAAGGUCCAAAAUUUACUUACCUACACUAAAUAUGCCAUAGGAUGCAAAUGUGAACACACAGGCAAAACCGGUUGACUUCUUUUCAAGUAUUGUGUCAUGAAAACAGACCAAGCCGCGAAAGCAAAGCUUUACACACACACACACAAUCAGGCUUUAUUGAGAAAACAAACCAAGGUGCAAGGCUGGUUUCCCAUACAUAUGUUUUACACUGCUGUACAUACUUAUCAUUCCCGCAACUACAACAUACGACCAUUCGUUUUCUGGGACAACCACUUUUCACCUUUAAAAACAAUCAUUAAAUAAUUUAAAAACAAUCAUUAAAUAAAGAAAACAAAAAUGCAAGCUCACAACCAAACCUGUGACCUCAGAAAAUAAAGAAAAGCUGGAUAUCAAACAAAAUGAAAAAAAAAAGGGGGUAAAAAUGGCGAACCUGUGUUGGUGACAACACGAACUAUUUGGGAGCAGAAGCAGCUAAAAAAGCACUGACGCUGUCCCUUCAAACCUAAUUAUGGGUCCCCUUGACCCAGACUAACUACACUCAACAGGACUAAUCGCAAAUUCGACUAUAAGAGAGUCAAAGGUAUGCAUAUAGAUGUGCAAGCCAUGUCUCAUCCAUCCCAUGACAACAAGGUGAAGAGGACAAGAAGAUGAAGCUAGAGCAAUUGGCAGACUUAGAAUAACUGAAGAGCCAUUUUAAGUCUGUUCUGCCUCCAUUUUGGUAGCUUGUAGAAAGCUUCCUUUGUCAUGCCAAAUUUCUCCUUAAAUUCGGCUGAAGAUAAAUAAGUCUGCCAUUGGCCAAGAACAAUAAAAAAAAUAAAUAAUUAGGUUGCGAUAGAUAUUUCAAUACAGGAUCAAAUGAUCUGAUGGUUUACCUCUCGCUUGGUAACAUCAAUUUCUGUAACAGGAUCAGUAGAUGAUGUCUUCAAGCGUUCAUAGGGGAAUAUCGGUAGCCCUUCUUCAUCUUCAGCGUCACCUUCCUUCACAUCUUCCUGUAUGGUGAGAGCUUCAAUUCUACUGCUCAUUGAAGUGAUGCUGUCCUUCGCAUUUGCCUCUGGUUUUGGUUUGUUGAUUUCGGGACUCACUUCAGCCAAAGAAAUGUAAACAAGUUUGAGUUCUUGCUAACAAAUACACUCUUCUGCUUCCAAAAGAUUGUUGUCACAUACCUUUCAAUGAUUUUGGUAUAAUAGUUUCCUUUGGGCGCUCAAAAGAAGAAGAGAGGGCAGCAAUUGCUGUUGCCUUUGGAGCCAACUUUGCAGAAUCAGGUGUUGCGGAUUUUGGAUAAAGUUUCCUAACUACUGGAGGAGGGGUUGAGAGAUUCCUGGCACUCGGAUUCUCGAAGUUAGCAGCUAGUGCAUUGAAGGCAGGUGAUCUUCCUCUAACUCGAACACGAUCAGGGCUGAAUGACAUGCUUCUAGAGCGCUGAGAUUUGUCUGGCACACUAGACCUUCCUCCAUAUGAUGUUGGUGUUCGCCGUUUAGGCUUCUGAGUUGGAGCAAAUAUCUAAUCAGCAAGAAGUUUCCACCAAUUUUUCUUUGCAGAAAAAUUCUUCAAGCAUAGAUGAGCAAGAGAAGAGGAGAAAGAAAUACUGCUACAGGAAUCAAUCAUGCAGCGGUAGAGUUGUCGGGAAACAUCACAAUGAAUUCUCCUACUUACAAUUUAAGUCCAAUUCCUAGCAAGUCCUUGUUAACUUUAUAGUCGCAGCAUGUCAAAGAAUUCAAUGAUUAAUGCUUUCAGAUAUUGUACUCCAACAUGGAAGGUCAUUUAAAGUUGGCUAGAGAAGACUAAGCAUGGCAUGCUGCCACAAAUGGUCCUCUGUACAUUUGGUCUUGAUUGUCAUUUAGAGACAAACUUGAAUAGUGCUCGUGCACAUGAAAGAAGGGAUAAGGCGGACAAGUUCUGCUAUACUGACAUGAUGAAGCAGAUUCCACAGACAAAAAAAAAUAGAGAGAAAGCAACUAGCAUAUGCAUAUGGCUUUUUUUUAGUAGAUUAAUCAACAGCAAGCAAUGAAAAAGGAGAGACACCAAACAUAGAUGACAAGAAGAAGAGGAAGGGGACUUUCUGCUACGAUACAAGGAAUAUACGGACUCACCUUAAACUUGCCCUAGCAUUACAUGACAUUAGAAACUCUCAUGCCUAUGAACUCCCCAUUUCUUGAAUCAAAAUCCACAUAUUGUACGAGAUUUUUUCGAAAAAAGAUAUUUAACUUAAAAUUGUGAUGUAAUUGAAAACUAUGCAAGCUAUAUGAGAUAAGGAAAGAAUAAUUUCUUACAUCUAAUGUUGGAGUUACUCCGUUCUUCACCAUUGCUAGCUUCCUCUGGAAUGAAUUACCAUGCAUCUGCAACCAAAAAGAAAUUUCAAGAGCCAUAACAUAACCACGAUAAUGAUUAUCAGGCCUCGUCUCAAUUGUUUGGGGUCAGCAUAGCAACAUAUUAACAUGACUAACUGGGUUUCUGAAGUAGAACCACUCAGAAAUUCCCUUAAUCACAUGCAUUCCUUCGUUUCCCCCAAAGCAAACAUGAUUAGCAAUUAAAGAUGGCACACCACUAUAAAAGGCAUCAGAUGAAGAUAUGCAGAAUUUCAAAGAAGCACCAAUGAAGAUAUGCAGAAUUUCAACCAUGCAAUGGGAAUACUUACUGCUGAUUUUGCAGAGUCCCAGUUGAAGAAGCGAGUGAAGAAGGGUGGUUCACUUCCUUCUGUAACAAUGUAUGCUGGAGUUUCUUGAGAUAGAUUUUCCAUAAGAAAAUCACGUUCAAGAAAUUUCUGGUUGAAGAUAGUAAUAUAAGUAUAUAAACAACCAAGGAAAAUGAUGUUCACCAAAAUCAAAAUGGCAGAUGGCUGCCCGCAAAGUAAAUAUAUGAAAGACACCUAUUUCUAACAAAGGCAUAACAAUUCAUACCUCUCCAAUGCUUAAAGCUUGUGAUCUGCUUUUUGAAUCAACCUCCUGUCCAACCCAAACAAAGAUGUCUGAGUGGCAGUCUAGAAUGAAUAUGUCUUCUGUCAUCAGAUCAUCUUGGGUGAAGUUGAAAAUUUCUGUUAACUGCAAGCACAGCAUAGCCACAUUUAACAACAUUAGGUCAUUGACACUGGGCAACUAAUGCUUAAUUCUCACAAGAUUAAUGCAGAGAUUUCCAAGACAUACCUUCAAAUUGCCUGCAUAUCCCCAUGUACAUCACAGCACAUAUUGGUACAGUGAAACAGAAAUUUAACAGCUCAGCCACAAUACAUGGAAUGAUAAACAAUGCACAACAAAUCAAAGGGAAAAAGAAUGAAGAUUGACAGCAGAUUUUUCAACUUCCUACCUUUCGAGUAAGUACACGAGAAUAGGUGAGGAUCAUUUUCUUGUUCUUUCACAAUUUUCUGACUGGGGUAUUCACAUUUGCCUCCUAAUAAAUUCCAAAACUGCUCCGUUUCUGUUCCCUCCUUCUGUGGUCUGGACUGCAUAUUUGGCUGAAAAUUCCAAGAACAUUAAUAUAAACCAAAUUGUUAUAAAUUUUUAUUCUUUUUACAGACUAACUUAGAUUCAAGUGUAGUAAAAAAGGGGUAACCUACUGCAUGAGGCUUCUGCAAUGUGGGGUCUGGGAGGGUUAGACUUACCAGCCUUAUCUCUAUAUGAAGAGACGAUGUGUUCAUGUUUUGAUCCCAUGACAACUCAGGUUACAAUAGAGCAACCUUACCAAUGUACCAAGGCUUACCCUCUAGAUUCAAGUAUAGGAUGGUAAUAUUUUUAUUCAUUUCCCGAAAAAAGAAAGAACUCAUAAUAGUUUCAAGAUCCACUUGCCCAGCAUGGGCGAACCAGUACUAGUGCCUAGCAUGGGUGCCAUGACACUUAUUAAGCUCUUUAUAUAAACUAUUUUUAAAAUGUUUUUAAAUCCUUUUCUUGGCAUAGUGUCGCUUGUGUGCCAGCACGGCAUGGCUAGUACCAUGCUAGUGGGUUACUUACUGAUCAGCACCCUUACUUGAAUCCUUGCCUUCACCUAACUUCCAUUUUACUAGAAUCAAUAAUAAGCUGAUUUAUUACUGGUCCUAAAGACACUAUGACAGUCUGACCAAAAAUCAGAUGCAUAGAACUCUUGUUUCCAAAUGUAAAAGGAGAGUCCAGAUAAUUUGCACCAUUCAUUCAGUCGGUGCAGGAAUAAUAUCAGGCCAAUAGGCUGCCAGAGUUAUAAAAUGAAAAAACCAAGGAACAUAAUGUACUUCAUGGUUACGGAAGCUACAGCAAUACUGAUAGCCACACAGGAAUAUGAUAACACUGAGAAGAUUUGAGGGUCAAUUGGAUAAUAAAGACAUGAUCAAGUUUAAGAACUACAAAAUUUAUCUGGGUCAUUAAUAUGGACCUGAUCAUGUCUAGAACUUUACAUCAUAAAUGAUGCUUCUCUGUAAAAUAAUGUAACAUUUAGAACUUUCCAUCUAAUACUCUCAACAUUGACAUAUAAUUGAACAAGCCACAUGAAUUGAAGCCUGCUACAUCAAGAGCAUCCAAGGAAGUCAAUUCUGGAAUCAGGUCAUGGAACGUGUAGGAACAACUGCAGAAGGUGGCCCAAAUCAGACCUUAAACAUGUUACCAAUUUGAAGUUAUCCUUUUGCAACUACAGAAGCUGCAAAUCUCAACUUCCAUUGCUAACAAAUAAUCCAAUCAUGUGUCAUCAGAUGCAGGGAGGAAAGUCAGAUAGUUUCUGCUGAGCUUCUAUUGCAGGAUCUUAUGAGAGUCUACAGUUGGGAGGAAAAAAAUCUGAUGGAAGAAAAUUAUGCAAAAGGAGAGUCCCUGAUGUAUUAGAGAACUCAGAGGAGAGAAAAUUGGGAACCAGAUCAUAUGAUCAAAUCGCUUAAGCCAAUGCAUUGAAGUUCCAAUCCUUGAGAACUAUUACUGUUUGAGCUUCUUUCCCCUAGUGUUUGAUGAAAAAUGUAUAUGACAAAUGGAUUUUAAAUCCUUAAAACUUAGAAAGUAAAUAGAACUAAGCUUUUAGUCUUUUAAUUGGAUACAAGGUACUAUUUAACAAAAGUGAGACGUACCUGGUACCGAACACAAACAUGUUUUGCCUGUCUAGCAAUUUUAUGACCAUUAAAAUAUUGGAGUAUAUGUUCCAUAUUAUUUUCCAAUAUUGAUAAACUACGAUCAGGAAAUGGUUCGUAAGAGAAAAACCACAUGACAAAGAAAACACAUUCUCAGUCUUUGAAUUGCAGAUAAAUCAAUUAUGGAAUCUUCACAAGAUUAAUCUGAUCAUAUUCACAAAAAUUCUAUCACACCUUAAUCAGAUCCAGUUGUCUCUCAAGUAGUUCUUGGUCAACUGUGGUGGUGAGGCUUCCAGACCAUGUGAAGACAGUAUUGCCACUAUGUAAUAUGUAACAGUAACACGAAUUCAGAGAUGAUGCCACCUGAUCAAAGUUAAACAAGAAAUCAGCAAUAAUGCUCUAUGAUAAAAAUUACCUUUAGUUACAUAAAUUUGUUUAUGAAAUAGAUUAAAGAUGACAAACUUAAGAACAUACUGGAUCAACUUGAAUUGCUUGCAUAUUAUCUGGUCCAGAUCCUUGAACUCGAAAAAGUGCAAUGCCAUCCUCUGAAUAUGUCUCAUCAGUGAUGGCAUUUUCUGCAACAUAUUUCUUAUAUCCAGAGCUAAGACCACCCUGUAAAGUUACAAAUAUAACUAGUUUCAAUAUAGCUCUUGAUGCUAUGAUUAAACCUAUCACAUAAUGGAGCAAUAUGGAAAUAAAAAGGAGUUCACUCUGCAGCAUAGACUUUGAUAACACAAACAAACCUUAUACACAACGAAGCUCUGGAAGAUAGAGAAGAAUUGAAUAGGUUCCUUUCCUUCAUAAAAGCGAGCCUGCACGUGCAUAGUCAGGAAAUCAUUAAGACCAUAAUAAAUUAGUAUAAAUAUUAAUUUAGUCCAUUCAAAUGAAGUGAUGCGAUUAACAAAUUACCUGAACAGCCUGCGACUUUAAAGAUUCAACCAUCUUGCUAGCAAGUAAAAUAGCUGCAGCCUUCUCCUCCUGUAAUCAGUUAGAGAUGAUCCCGUACAUAAGAAUUAACAAUACUGCAAGCUUCAACAUCCAUGACCAAUGAAUAUUGAAUCCAGUGUUGAUACAGGUUUGACUUAUAAUUCUAUAAAGAACUCUUCUUAAUAGUUCCGCAUGAGCCACACCUCCAGACAUUGAAUAUAUGCAGGAUGCUUAUAAAGCUGAACAGGUGCACGAAAUGUAUUGAAAUUCACAAUCAUACAAGAAUUUGUAAGUCAAGUAUCCUCGUCCAAACAAAAUUCCUUCUGACUGAAGCAUCAACUAUAACAAUGUUAAUAUAUAUUCAAACCCUCAAUAACUGAACUACAAGAAAAUCAUGUAUAGAGGCAUGCUAAGCACAAUAUGAAGACUUCUUAUAGUAACAACCCACUUCGGAAGAAUAUGGUGAAUAGACGGAACAAAGGGAAUGAAAUGGUUAUAAUGGGGAUCAGCACAACCAUGUCACCAGUAGCACUUAACAUAGGUUGCAUCACAACCUUUCUAAUAUCAUACAUCUACCUCAAGGUGGUAGUGCAUCCACAAUCCAAUUACAUACAACAAAUACAUUUGAUCGGUACUACUACAACUUUCUCUAAGAUAGCACACCUUUCUAACAUCAUACAUCAGCCUCAUGGUUACAAGGGGGCAUCCUUUUUCUUCUUCUUUCUCUUUUCUUUCUUCCUUCUUUCCUUCCUUUCUUUCUCACAUAGAUAGGUUUUGGAGUCCUGACUCCAUUCCAAUCCCAUUUUAUCAUAGGGACGGAACAGGACAACUGGGAUGCCCCUAUCUCGUCAGGACUUAAAACCUUGGUUCCACCUUAGCCAUAUUCCAGUUAAAAAUGCAGCAAACAACACAUACUAUCAGUUUGCCAUCACCUCCAUCCAAAGCAUUGGAUCGGGUAUAGAUCUGCCAGCGCUGAAGAAUAUCUACGAUGAUCUACUAUACAACAAUAAAGAGGAGUUGCAGAAAUGUAGUCUCCUACCAGCAUAAGUAGGACAUACAUGAAUUGACUGUAAUGUGUGAUAGUUCAACAAGUUCCAAUAGACGGAGCAUCAUCGAUUUUUUGACCAAUUAUGACAUGAAGACUUUCUUCCACAAGUCAAUUGAUGCUUUUAGUUAGGUGCAUAGCACUCACUACAUCUUCAAAGGAGGUGAUUAAUCAGAUAAGAGAGCACAAUAUCAUACAGAUGGUCACUGAUAAUGACUACCAAGAGAUCUUGAUGGAUAGGUGGCUACCUAUAUUCUUGACCCCAUGUGCUGCAUAUUGCAUUAAUUUCAUAUUGAUAGACAUUAGGAAGACUUAUAGAGUGAAGCAUGUCAUGGAGUUAAUCCAGUCCAUCACAUAGUUCAUCUACAAACACAUAUGGGUGCUUGCUUUGAUAAAUAGACAAAGGGUGACAUCUUGAGGCUGGUAGUCAUACGGUUGGUGACGAACUACAUUGCACUCGAUAGCCUUAUUGAGAAAAAAGCAAGCUUGUGUUAGAUGUUCAUCAAUGCCAUGUGACAAUAGCACGAUAUACUCAAAUCAGCACUAAGGGAAGUCAAGGGAAGUGCUUAGCGACUAGCCAACAAAUUUGGUAGUAGGCUGAAGGAUUGUGAAGACUAUUGAGCCAUUAUAUGAAGUGUUGAGAGUAGUAAAUAAGGCUGAGACCAAUGCAUAGCAAGAAAUAUCCCCAGAUGGACUUCCUCUACCAUAUGAUGAUUGCUGCAAAGCCCCGGAUCAAGGAGGUUGACCCCAAGGCAUAUGCGGGAGUAUAUUGCCAUCAUCAACCUUAGAGGAUGAUUAUCAGAUGGAUAGAAAGUUGUAUCUAGCAAGUAAUUUCACUCGUAUACCUAUUCUUCACAUACUAUUGUGUGUUUUGAGCACAAUUGUUAUAUUAAAUCAAUUGUAAACUAUAUUGAUAGCUUAUUAUAUGAACCUAAGGUUCCAGUAUACCAUUUCCCAAGUUAGAUUUGGAUAAGGAACUUCUAGCUUCCCUAUGCAAUCUUAUUUAUAAGAUGAAGCCCAAUCCAAGGGUCGCUGCCCUAUACUUGGAAGAGUUAACUUUAUCAACUUUGUCAACUAGUAUAAAUGAUUGACAUCAUAUAACAUAUAUCUUUUCUACAAAUACAAAUGUUUAGGGAGAGCUCAAGUAGUUUCAACGAUAAGCUAGUUGUAGCAAGCAAAACAAGAAUGAGUUCGGAUAUUUUAAGAUAUGGACUACAAUUGUUACUUGGAUGUUAUAUAAUUAGUAUUUAGUAGUGUCUAAUAUGUAGUUUUCUUGAAUACUUUUGUAGCUGAAAGGUAGAUCUACUUUAGCUUGUCAUCUUGGAACCUAAGAUUGUUGGUGAUCUAAAUCCUCUCACAGACGGUCUCCUCCAAUGGCCAUUAGCAUAACUGGUCCACAUUCGCCUUCAUCCACAGCAAACAAAGAAACCACCUUAUAUAAAACGGUUGAAUGAUCUUAUGUACAUCCAUUACAAUCUGCAUCUGUGGCUAAGGUGCACUGAGAAGAAAGUCAAGCCGAAGUAUAACAACCAUAAAAAGAAUCUAAUGAUUGGAUGGCUUGAGGGUCAAUGGCAGGAGCCAGAGCUAGAUGAGCCAGGACUACCUCAUCAACUAGCCAAUUUUAUAGCCCUAAAGGCUAGGGUGGAUACGGAGCAAUAAGUAGAAUGACAUAUUCCACAAUAAGUUCCAAUCGAUGACCUACAAGAGUCUAGAGGGAGCCAAUCAUUGCAUAGCUCCACAUCAAAGAUAUCUUCUUCAUAGUUCGAUUGAGAGGUGGUGAGGAGAGUCCACCACAGUACCCAAUCUAGUUAGGUUGGAGGGCCCACUCGAUCCUCCUAGCAAAAUCAAGGCAAGAAGACAACAAUUCAAGCUACCAAUAAAGGCAAAGGAAAGGCAGAUACAUCUUUUUUCGAGAGAUUUGAAGGGAGAUUCAUUCACCUUGAUUCAAAGAUCAGAUCACCACACGACACCAGCAAUAACAGUUCAUCUAAUGAUGCAUCAUAUAGCUAAGGAGGUAGUGAGGCACAAGGCGCCACAGUUUAUGACUCACAACCCCAGGGCCCAAGAUGAUCUUUAAUUCACCCGUGAGUCCCGAUUUACUCAUGCCACACAGGAUCGGGAUCAUGGUGCACAACCUGAUGGAGUUUUUGAGAACACCAUUGCAUAUAGGAGAUGGCUCCACGUGAUCUUUUAGAGAUGAUGAUGUUGCGGCAUAUGACAUUGCACAUAGAGUAUGGUCCCUGAAUGUAUCUUGUUCCAAGUUGCACAUCAAACCCUAUUCUACACUGGUAGCCUAUGACCUUCAUGCAUAUGAAUCGUCUCAGGCGCCAUACUUAAAUGGUUGCUAUCCUUCGCAGCUUCAGCCAUCUUUCAUGUUAGAUUUUGCUAUGAGCAUUUUUGGAGGCUAGACCAAUUUUAGAGUCAGAUGGAUGACUCUUCUCAAAGUAGCUUUCCAGUAGACUACAGAUUGAUCAUGGAGGCUUAUCACAAUAUGAAUCUCUUAGAAAGUUGGUAUGACACCCUCCAGAAUAUUAUUAUGAUCCCAACAUCUCUGAAUCACAUCAACACUCAACCACAUUUUAGAUGUCGGUGUACAUUAUAUACUUUAGAUACAUUAAAACCAAUUCAAUUUGUUGUAUUCUAUGUGUUUAUACUCAAAAAUAUAUUGGAUGGACAUAUCCCAAUUCUAUUUCUUGAUAAAAAGACAUCAAAACAAGAUUAAACCAUAUAUUGGACAACAAACCCAAUAUAUUUUGACUAUAUAUCCCAAAAAAAAUGAGAAAACAAAAAAACAAUAAUCAAAAUAGUGUACCAGUCAGCUGAUCGGUAUGCCAAGGCAUACCGAGUUUAUAUAGUAUCAAACUGCCUACCAACUGAUAUGGGUCCCAGUACCAGUAUAGUGAAGGUGUGGCUGGCUUAUCACCUCUCAUAUGUGGUCAAUUUUUGGAGAGACAAGGAAGUCCUGAUAUCCGAAGGAGUUGACAAACAAGUCAACCUCAUUAAAACUAAAAGCAUAAGCCGGUAAGUUUUAGGCCCAAGUACAUAAAUCUAUUUAUUUCUAAUUAUUCCAUGAGGGACCAAACCUACACAUGAUCCUCAACAAUCUCUACCAUGUGAAUCAAAAAUUUCAACUCUCCCUCGAGUUGAAUCCACUACUCGUAAUAAGACUUCAUGCCCAAAUACACUUUUAUGUGCACGUGUCCACAGCCCAAGAGCCCAUUCUCCAAGAGUCAUACUUUCCCAGUGUUGUACCGCUCAAGUCCAAUAUCUUGCUCUCCAAGAGCCAUGUUUCACCUCACAUUUACAAGCAAUCUUGCAAGAACUAUUGCUGAGUAUAAGCUCAAAUCUAGUGCCUUGUUCCAUCAAGUUCACUUGCUGCAUCAGUCUGGCGCACCAAGGCCAAUAUGACUCAAUCUACCAACCAGCAUGUUACCAUUCUUCAUUAGAGCUACAAUUCCGACACCUUUAUAGGUCCGAGAGUUAUCCAAGAAUGUCAAUCAUUGACUCUAAUGCCGCUUGCUGGGAGACAGGGCAGACCUAUUAUUAGCAGUUAGACAUACAUUUUGAGACCCAUUUCAACCUAAAAGCCUAAGCACUUAAGUUUUAGGUCCAAUCAUCUAUAUCCAUCCAUCCACUUCUCAUUAAUAAUUCCAUAGGGAGCUAAACUCGACACAUGAUCUUAACAACAAUUAGAUUAUUACAGCAUUUCCACACUUACCAUUUGAGCAACAUAUGCAAAAAAACUAGAAUUGCCAUAUAGGAUGGAAGACACAUAAUAGCCCAUGCUCCCGCCAAUUAAUUUGAGGAUGAUAAUAUGCGAACUUCAUUCCGACGAUCUUUCAACAGCAGAUCUUUGCAAAAAUAUUGCAUUGCAUUGUAGUCCAUGUUUAAAUCUUUAAAUAUGUAUGGGCCAACAUGAGACAGAAUAUGUUGCUGUUUACUGCUAGUGAUUUAUCAAAAUAGCCUGUCAAUAUGACCAUUUGCCACAAUUUAUCUAACAAAAUCUCAAGCUGAAAGGAAUUGGAAAUGCAUUGUGAACAGAGGGAACAUUUAAUAAAACAAAUUAGUGCAACAUACAAUUUGCCUUCAACAAUUCAUGUAAAUUCAGAUUACAUAAAGAGAAAAAGAAAUGAAAAGCCUUCCAGGAUGCAUGCAGGCUCAUAUGAUAAGAAUAAAACCAUAAGAUUAGCCAUAGUUCAUUUAUAAAAUAAAAAUUUUUCAAGGAUGUGAUUAGAAAUUGAGACAAAAAAAUAAAUAAAUGAUUGUCAGCCAGAUAUAUUUACAGAACAUAUUUAAAUACAACUUACACUUCAGAAAUUCAUAAUCACGUUAGUAGCAUUUUUUCUAUAUUGAAUCUUAGAAACCACAUAGAUAUUCAAAACUCAAAUAUAUGUUUUCCAGGAGUACAAGGAAAAAUGCUAAUUAAAUUGCUAAAAAGAUAUUUACCUCAAUGCUUUUUUUUCCAAACCAAGUGCCAAUAAUAUAUUCUUCUUUAUCUUCACCAGGGUAUGUAUAUUGAAAUAUAUAGCAAUCCCCACUAUAAAACUUAGACUGAUCAGAGGAUGGAAUAAGAAUCUUUUCCUUGCUGUUUACACGCCAAACCUGUGCAUUGAAGUCGGACAUUAUAUUUAGCAUUUGAGCCUAUAAUCUAAAGCGCAACAUGCAAUCAGGCUAGCAGCCUCAUCAUCAUGAACAUAAAUACAGAUAUAUAGUUAUUUGUAGUAAUGGUCGUUAUUAGUUGAAUGGUAGUCACAAUUAUGACAUCCGCACAGAAUGUGAAUGGAAAAGGAGUUAAAAUAGCACCUGCAAAUUGCCCGUACAAUCAAUAUAUGGUUGAGGUUCUUCUUCUUUUACAGGAGCAGCUUUCAUAAGACCUUUAACAUUUAAUCCUUGGCGUCUAAGAAGUGCUACAUGUGAAGAGGGAAAAUGUGAUGAACAACCUUGUUAACUGCACAGCCUUAUUAACUCCACAAAAGAAAUUAAUGAUACAGACAUGGAUGUAAGGGGGGUUGCAUUUUGAUAUUCUCACUUACCUGCAACUUUGCCCCUACCAUCCUCAGAUACAGCCACAUCAGUUGUUUGCGGCCAUUUAUCAAAUUUUGAACGGAACAUUACAGUCUCAAAUCCCUCAAUAAUGCGAAUAAUAUGAGCUUUUGGUCGGCUAGGGUCAUGAAGUAAUUCCUGCAUGGCAUUUACACAAAAAAAUAUCAUCAGAAAUCGUAAUUCAAUUAACCAGGGUUAAGAAAAUAUCAAGGGUCUGUUGGAUGCCAAACCAUAGUAACCAUGUGACAUUUCUCAUAGAGUUGGAUGAGUAUAAGACACAACUGGGGGAAGCUAUUGCUUUCACAAUUACAGGGUUUUUGGGAUACCAGAAUCUAACUAACAAGGGGAUCUCAGAAAUCCCAAAAAUCUUGGGACUGAAAGUUAAACAACCUCCCCCUUACCCUCCCACCUCUCCAUCUUCUUGCUUCCUCUCCUCAACCCCUCUCACAUCGAUAAGGUAGCAGGUCAUCCAAACAGACCCUUGACAAGAAAGAAAUGAAUUACUUCUGCAGCAGCGCUUGCACUUUUCCUCUCUUCUAGUGACGUAUUUCUGCCCAUCCAGAUGUAGAUUUCAGCCCCACAAUCUAACAAGUAACACUUAUUUGUAUCUAAUAAAUCUCGUGCCAAGGAAUCUGCUUCAAUAGGCACCAUCUGCCCCUUAUCAACACUACAAAGGUAAAAUUUUUAUCAGAAAUGACAUGUAUUAGAUAAUCUUUGCUCAGCUGACCAGAUUCUAGGAUGAAGAAAACAUGUGCAGUGAUGGCUCACAUAAUGAAAAUUUCAGAAAUGGCAUCAUGAGAACGAUUACCAGAAUAACUUUGUAGAAAAGGCCACCCCAUUUCUAUCAUCAUCAGAGGCCACCUUUCUAGGAAGAGGAGCAAAGCCACCAAAGAAACCCCAAAAUUCUCCAGCCUCCGCAUCCGCCAUUAACUUCCCAUCCUCUAGCGACAACAAUUUCCAAAUAAUCAGAUCUAAUCAUCGUCAGUCCAACCACUAAUAAGAUCUCCUGAACAAAAUCGACUUACCAACAGCCGCCACCUCGCACUUCCCAUCAUGAUAAGUAUCUUUAAUAUAUUGCACAACUUCAAGAGCUUUAGCCCUUUCCUGAAUGGAUGAGUUGGCUCCAUUAAACUGAAAAAUCUUGGACUUCGUAUCCAGAAUGAAUAUGUCAUCAUGGUUGAGAGAAGAUCUAGCAAAAGGAACCUGCUGGCAAAGAAAACGCUCACCCAAGAAAUUCAAGACAGAAGAGAAAUCUGAUGUCUUUAUCUGAUACACAGUGAUAUAUGACUUGCCUCUUUGACAUGGACAACAUGUUUCCCUCUGCAGACAAAUAAGCGUAUCACAUGCUCACGUUCAUUGACUUCAGUAUGCUUGAAACCAGAUGCCACCCCACCUUCUUGUGGUAUGAUACAUGGUUUGAAAUAGGAGAGGAAUUUCUCAGUCUCAUGACCCUGUACCUCACGGUAUUGAACAGCUCGUCCUCCAAGGGCUGCAUCGAGUUCAACAGUUUUGAUUGCAGCAGUCCCAGCUUCAUCCUGAAUAAAUUAAUGAUUCAGAAUUAUCAUCAGAUUAAAAGCAUCACCAUCACUAUUGUUCAAAAGUAAUGUCAAGUAGGUUUUAUGGCUGACCUGACUAGUAUCUUUACCAAGCCAAUAAUGGAUAUCAUGACGAAGAGAACCAUUUUUCAAGGCAGUUGUCUGUUAAAAAAUCAAGAUUUUAUUUAUUAGCAUAGAAGGAAAAUUGAGUUGAUGGAAUUCUUGGAAGACACACAACAUCAAGAAGAAAAUCACAAGUUCAUUAAGAAGCAGGAUGGUAAACAACAUUUCAUCUACAUAUAUUUAUAGCUAAUAUUACAGCAAAAACAAAGAACAAGUCAAUUUAAAACAUCCAGCAGAGCACAAUAAAAAUUCAUAGGCCUGAACUUCCACUAUAAAGUUAUUAAAGUUGUACAAACUAGCAUUCUUAGAAGUAGAUGCACUGAUGACACAAAACUGAAAUAAUAGUUCAUGAGAUCCAAAUCAAUUUAGAAGGCCGCACUAGUAGCAGAUGUGGAUACCACAUGGCACGCAUGUGCAUGCAUGCAUGCUCUAAUUAUAUAUAUAUAUUGUAAAGCAUAACAAACUACCUUCAAAAUUACAUAAGCAUCUCCAGUAAAAAAUUUUCCAUAGGACGACUUUGGCACUGGCACUGGACGAAAGUUUUCGACUCGCCAUAUCUCCAAUCCACUGAUUGGCAUUAAGGAAUACAAAAUCUGUAUAUAUCAGGAUAGCACUGCUUCCAAAUGAAGACAAUGAAAACUAUUUAAAACAGCAAGGCAACAAUGCUUGCCAUUUUAUCAAAAUACAAUACAUAUACAGCUAAAUAUUCAAGAUCAUCUAGCUUCCAUUUACUAUGACCAACAAUUCCUUAUCCAAUUUACAAGAGCCGCCACUGUAAAUCCUUUUCCACAGUAGUGCCGUCUUAUAAGAAUGGUGGGAUUCUUUCUAGUUCAUAGUUUAGUUUUUGCAUGAUUUAUACUCUGUUCCACCCAUAUGAAAUAUCUGCUUGGCUAAUUAGAUCCUGAAAGUUUCAUCCUUUAAGAGUACCUUGAACCAAGCAAUCAUGCGAUCCAUUUUCUGAUGGUUAGCACAAGCUACUUCUCCAUUCCCAAAAAACCUUGCUUUGAAAACUGACAAGUCAUUCAAAUAUUCAAUUACUAAAUGUAGUGAGGCAUUGAACUUAGCACUUAGCACAAUCUACAACUUUUUGAAAGACAGCCUCUUCAACAGCCUGAAGUUGAAUCAAGCACAUGUAUGGUUUACAUCAUAAGGAAUAUAAUGGGAAUCGCACUUGCUACCUUGAACUUUAUCAUAUAUGUUGGAUAUUCAUAUUAGUUUUAUAAUUACAAGAUGCAGGAUAAUUUUGAACUUGUCAACUACUCAUGUCUGCUUUCAAAGAAAAUGAUCACCAUUAAUUGUCAUCAGAAACAAUGUUCUGAAGAAAGGCUUAUAAGAGCUGUAAGUAAUGGCAUAGCAUCUGUGCAAAAUGUACUACAACAGCCUAAGAUUUUGAAAAAAAUGAUUAAAUUAAAGUAUAAGGAUACGCCUUUUGUCCAGCCCCCUGGAAAGCAGAAUCCAAAUCCUUCAUAGAAACUGCCAUAUUGUCCUCAGGCCUUCUGGAACCACUCUCUCUUGACUCUGGCUUCAAACCGGAAGCAGAAAAUUUCUGCAAAUGGACAUUCAUAGGUGAAGAGAUGAUUAACCCAAGGCAACCAAAAUCAGAACAACAUUACUAACUUGACAAAAUAGAUAAUAAAAGAGAAAGUAACUGUAAGUUUUUUUGAAGGGAGAAAGAUCACAGCAAGCAUUCUAUAAAUAUAUAAAAUUCUUGAAAUUUAAAUUUCCAGUGGGCAAAUUAUUGCCCAUUUCAGCCAUAGAUGAAGAACUGUGUACGUAAAGGUAAUUUCCAAUAGGAAAACGAUUCCAUUUGUAGAUGAAGACCUGUGUACAUUAAAGCUUCAGAUUCUUCAAAACAUGACAACAUGAAACUGUGCAACAGGCUAAUUCAGAAACAAACUCAUGUAAAGGUUUCCAGGUCUGAUGGCUGACAACAAACUAAAUGAAUUUGGAGACAAUGACAAUUGACAAAGUUUGGAAGCAAAGCCUUUUUAAUUAAAAUUUUAUUAAAAAAAGAUAUAUCAGUCAUCUCUGUGGGUGAUUAAUACUGAGAUGAACUAGGAUCUUGGUUUAUCUUAGUCAAAAAGGAAGGUGGGAAACUAUGAAAGGAACCAAAAUAUUUAGAGAUCUUGGCCAAUAUAUCAGAAUUAAGAUAUAGAAAUCUUGGCCAGCAUGGUAAAACCAAGACGGGCAGCUGUUUUAAUGCAUUGAUUUAUUAAUUUGAAAAUCCACCUAAGAUUAAAAAAAAUGCAUUAUUGGAAACUAUUAGCCAGUAUAACACCAUAACAGCUUACAUCUCAGAAGUCAGAAUAUAUCAUUUACAUUGACUGAGAUAAUAAGGGCCAAGAACUUUUAUACACCAUACUGGUAAGCAUCCGAUACUAAUUCAAACUGAUAUCUUGACCAAGAUGAAAACUUUUCUCAAAGCUAGUUUAUCAAAAACUGAAGGGGGAAAACUAAACAAUUAAAAGUCAAGUCCUUGAUUUUUAUACAAAAUGAUAGACAUGGUGAGGAAGGAUGGAUAAUAUCCAACAGGCACCAAAUACAAGAAGCAUAGAUGAAUUUAAACUAAAGUGGAAUUGUAAGAAUGAUGAAUCAGACAAGAACAUCUACAUUGUGCAUCAAAUGCAUGACAGGAAGAUAGAAUUUUCAUCACAUGCACGGCUAACUAAGUGACAUGGAAGAAAUGUUGAAAAUCAUUGCAUGGUGGCCUUACCGUUGAAAUUUAAAAUAUCGGAUGCAAGAGGAAAGGACUUCUACAAAAACUAGAGGUCAUGAGAUGAUAUAUGUUCUCAAAUAUGUUUCAUAGAUAAAGAGUGCAUGGCAUUCCAAAGGCAAUGCAAUUAGAUGAAAAGCAAUCACAUCAACAUGGAUAGUAUGCAUCACAGAGACAGGCAAGAACUGAGCAUAGAAUACUUGCAGAUCAGAGUUGGUGUCACAAUCUAAAGCCACGAAUGGAGAGCUAUGAUAUUUUGGUAAAAGCAACAUGGUUACUUGUGUCAGGAAUUUCGCUUGUACCCUCUGGGUUGUGGGAGCGCUCCAGACAAUUCAAAAGCUUAUAAACCACAAUAUGAAUGAGGACUGUGCAUUGAAGAUUUCCAGAUCACGCUGAGUUAAAUAUUAUGCAACUCAAUGCAGAAAGAAGAGAUUUUUACUCAAUCCAAUGACUCAGAUUAAGGGAACUGGAGACCUCACGAGUGACUCUACAGAAAAUACCACUCACCCAAAGUCCAAAACAUGAACAACAAUCCUCGAUUCAAUUCAAAAAAAUUUGAUUUUAGACAAUCACAGGUAAGUGAGAACGGUCUACUCCCCCGUCACGAUGUAGAAAGAUUAGAUUUUCUUCACUGACCAACCAGCUCUAAUCCCAAGAACCAAAUAGAUUCCUACUCCAGAAACAUCGAAUCCAGUCUCCCAGCGGGCCAGAGCAUACCGACCAUGGAAACUUCACAAGAAAGGCAAACACCAAAACCGAUGACAAUGAUUCAAGUCCCAGAUCCACCUCCCUACCUUAACGACCGCCCCCCGGCCCACUUCCCAACCAAUCCAAAGAAAUCCCGAUCAAAACCAAACCAAGAAACAGAGAUGCAGCAUCUCAGAAACCAGAUCGGGCCCCGAAGCUCAAGAAAGAGCCACAGGUAAUUAAAGACGCCAUUAGAAACUAGAAUUCAGUCGUUUCAUUGCGAAUUAAAGAAACGACAGCUAUAAUUGUCUACACCAUUCAAAAAAUCGGGAGAAAAUCGACAAAAAUUCUCGGUGUUCGACCUCACCUCUGCGUUCCAAGUACCAACUUGCCGGCGCGACCCUCCUGAGAGGGCGACGAUGGCGCAAGAAUCGGUCUGAGGGCGCAAACCCUAGACCUCGAUCGAUCUAGAAGACAAAGGAAGAAGGAAAAAGGUCCAGAAAAGCAAAAAUGUGCGUGUACGUGAGAGAGAGAGAGAGAGAGGAGGGGCGAAUGUGAGUGCGGGGCGUGCUUAUCACUAUUGGAAGCAAAGGACCCAGUGAUGGUGUGGAAAGAUUUUAAAAAAUAUAAUUGAACGAUUAAAUUAAAAAUACAACAAGUUUUAGUAAAUCUUGGUGGAUUAAUUAAGGAGGGGUAAAAAAGUAAGAAAACAAAAAUCCGGCUCUUUUUAGCCUCCUAGGUGUGCAGAGGGGAUGAGGCGGCCACCGGCCACCAUGAUGCCGAAAAGGGCACAGAGGGGACGGUGGGGUGGACGUGGUGGGCCUACCGACAUAACUCUAUCCCGCUCCACUCGGAUUGCUGGAUUCACCUGAGCUUUAAGGAUGACACGUAUAAAAUUUGGUGGGGCCCUUGCGUUUCUGAGACGUGUCGGGCGCUGGAACUGCGAAAUUGCUGUCUGUUGUUGCGCAGGUUUCAAGGAUUUCUUAUCUGCUGAUGCCGCGGGGAGGCAAAAUCUGUGGCACCGAUGAUACAGUGGCGGUUGGGGNNNNNNNNNNNNNNNNNNNNNNNNNNNNNNNNNNNNNNNNNNNNNNNNNNNNNNNNNNNNNNNNNNNNNNNNNNNNNNNNNNNNNNNNNNNNNNNNNNNNNNNNNNNNNNNNNNNNNNNNNNNNNNNNNNNNNNNNNNNNNNNNNNNNNNNNNNNNNNNNNNNNNNNNNNNNNNNNNNNNNNNNNNNNNNNNNNNNNNNNNNNNNNNNNNNNNNNNNNNNNNNNNNNNNNNNNNNNNNNNNNNNNNNNNNNNNNNNNNNNNNNNNNNNNNNNNNNNNNNNNNNNNNNNNNNNNNNNNNNNNNNNNNNNNNNNNNNNNNNNNNNNNNNNNNNNNNNNNNNNNNNNNNNNNNNNNNNNNNNNNNNNNNNNNNNNNNNNNNNNNNNNNNNNNNNNNNNNNNNNNNNNNNNNNNNNNNNNNNNNNNNNNNNNNNNNNNNNNNNNNNNNNNNNNNNNNNNNNNNNNNNNNNNNNNNNNNNNNNNNNNNNNNNNNNNNNNNNNNNNNNNNNNNNNNNNNNNNNNNNNNNNNNNNNNNNNNNNNNNNNNNNNNNNNNNNNNNNNNNNNNNNNNNNNNNNNNNNNNNNNNNNNNNNNNNNNNNNNNNNNNNNNNNNNNNNNNNNNNNNNNNNNNNNNNNNNNNNNNNNNNNNNNNNNNNNNNNNNNNNNNNNNNNNNNNNNNNNNNNNNNNNNNNNNNNNNNNNNNNNNNNNNNNNNNNNNNNNNNNNNNNNNNNNNNNNNNNNNNNNNNNNNNNNNNNNNNNNNNNNNNNNNNNNNNNNNNNNNNNNNNNNNNNNNNNNNNNNNNNNNNNNNNNNNNNNNNNNNNNNNNNNNNNNNNNNNNNNNNNNNNNNNNNNNNNNNNNNNNNNNNNNNNNNNNNNNNNNNNNNNNNNNNNNNNNNNNNNNNNNNNNNNNNNNNNNNNNNNNNNNNNNNNNNNNNNNNNNNNNNNNNNNNNNNNNNNNNNNNNNNNNNNNNNNNNNNNNNNNNNNNNNNNNNNNNNNNNNNNNNNNNNNNNNNNNNNNNNNNNNNNNNNNNNNNNNNNNNNNNNNNNNNNNNNNNNNNNNNNNNNNNNNNNNNNNNNNNNNNNNNNNNNNNNNNNNNNNNNNNNNNNNNNNNNNNNNNNNNNNNNNNNNNNNNGAUAAAAAAGAUUUUUUUUUGUAUUAUUCGAGAAAAGAGCUCGGCGGUUCUGGGUCAUGAAAAGCAAUUGAAAGAAGAAUAUUCCUCGACGCGUGUUUGUGUAUUUGGGACCUCAGUUUUGUAAUGGGUACGCGUCCUGCCAUCUUUUGCUGCGAUACAUUUUGAAUUCAAAAGGAUAGAGCGGAUCAAAUAAUGGUAUGCCUGGCAAGCGACGGCUGGAAAGGUGGAGCAGGUAGGUGGCGAGGGAAUUGUUAGGACUUUUCUCGACCCAUAAAUUGAAAUGAGUUAGAUAAUUACAGUAAUUGUGGAUUUUUCUUACUUAAUACCCGAUUAGUCAAUACUUUAUUUUGCUAAAUCAGGAGGGAGAUCCUUUUGGAAUCUCUGCUGUGCAGCUCGGCUGUUUCCUAUCAGACAGCAGUCUUGCUGCUCAGAUGACGUGGAUGACCGCAAUUGGCUGCGAACAUGGGCCCAGAACUGACACAGGGACUCCGAGCGUUACACGUCAUCAGCGAGCUUGCUGUUGUGGGAUUUACCCAAAAAAAAAGGGAAAAAGAACUGCGGCAGGCGCACGUGGCCAGCGAUGAUGAAGAUAGCAAACGGACCGGGUCACAGCUCAUUCGGGUCCCAGGAUCGCGGUUGUUUCAUACGCGCCAAAGAAGGAUCCACCUUCCUUUGCGCGAAUCCACCGUUGGAUCAUCCACCGCACAGCUCAAAGCAUGCGAACUCGGUCACAGCUUUAAAAGCCAGUGUAUGAUCCAAGGGUGAAUCCUUCAUUCGCGCGAAACCCAGUCUCCCCAGUGAGAGGUCAUCUGGCCCCCACUCCGGACCCGCACAUUUGUCCGCUUAGGUCCAUAUUAUGGGCUCCUUUUGCGUGUAUUGCUUAAUAUUAUUUAACUGUAAAUAUUAUAUUAGAGCAUCUAAUACGGGUAUAGUUUCUCGCGGCCCUCCUCCUCGCUAGGGUACGCUUCACUUUCCCUAGAUUAGCAUCAAGUAUCGUGCCAACCGAUCUUCAUCCCGUGGGUAAUGUUGGGACGGGGUCGGGAGCGGAUGGCUGGUUUCGUGCGCCGAAAGCCAGUGUGUGGGGACCACGCCCGGGUCGGGAAAAUUUCGGCCUUGGUCGCGCUAAAAUUCGCUACAGGGAUACGAAUUUUUUACGGAGUGAUGUCAGUAUGUGGACCAGAAAAUAAGUGCCGCGUUUCCACCCUCCUCCUUAGCGGGGACGAAAGAGAGGCUUGUGUAAGGAGAGGGUGCAAAAGUGGGGGAAGUUGAUUAAGUCAGGCUUCCUUUUUUUUUUUUGGUCAAUAUAUGUCGUACGCUGCUUUGCUGUUUAGGGCCAGUCAAAGAUCAUAAAUGUCAGCGUGCGUUGACCCUCGUCCGGUGGAUUAGAACUGAAACAGUUGGCAGUAUCAGUUAUGUGUCCAUAUGUCCUACGACUCUCAACGUACAGAUCGGUGACAGACUCGUGUGCAUUGGAUGUAAUUAGAGCCCAUGGUUAACCCGGCCCUCCACUGUGGUUUUCCCGAAAAAAGAACAAAAAAAAUAAAGAAGUGGACGCCCCGGUGAAAAUUAGGGUGAUGGCCGGAUUAAAUACGGACAUAUGGUUUCAAUAGAGGACACUUUACCACCUCCAGCAAUCUUCAGCCUUGUUUAAAAAAUAUAUAUAUUUCUAUAUUUAUUUUUAUAUAUUUUUGUUAUAUAUAAUUAUUCUAUUAUAUUAAAUAAAUUAUGAAUGUUAGAUAUAUUUAUUUCAACUAUUACAUAAGUUUAUUAUUAUUAUAAUUAUAUAAAUUUAAAAUCAUUAUGCUAUAGCAUGUAAUUGUUUAUUUUUAUUUUCAAUAGCAGCUUUCUUGUCCUAUCGACUUAAUUGAUAUAUGAGUUUCAUUUCAUUAAUGAUAAUGUGGAAUUGAGAAUGAUUUAAAUCUCAUCAUUAAUAUAAAUAUUUAUGUCUCCAAUGAUUAAACAUCAUUAUUCUAUAACUUAUAAUUAAUUAAUAUAUUGUUUUAAUUAAUAUGUAACUUUCAAUAUUUAAAUCUUGUCACUGUUACGGGUACCAAAGUGAUGUGGAAAGCUCAACACAAGAAUGACCUCCCUUUUAACACACGCACAUAUAUAUAAUAGAUUAGAUUUAGAAUAUGUACCAACUUAGUGCGAUAAUUAUCAGUUGAAUAAGUUUUGAAUUUUUUUUUUACAAAAAUAAAUCAUUUUUAAGCAUGUUCAUCGCAAUUUGUCAUCAGUGUUAUUAUCAAAUUAAUCUUUGACUCACAUCCAAGCUCGGCUAGUUUCUCAAAUUAUAUGUCAAAGUUUGGAGAUAGAUCACAAGCAAAAAGAGAGAAAUGAAAAAGGUCAUUAUCUCGUUAUACGGUCCCAACAAUCCAGGAUCUUAGCAAUGGUAGAUCGGAGACAUACAAAAUCUUUGACAUUGUUUUUGCACAAAGUAGUUGCCUUAGUCUUGAACUUGCACUAUUGUGUUUGUUAGGCCAAGACCUUCAUCAUUUGACAUUGAACAAAGGCUAACUUAUAAGCAUAUUAUUGUUAUUGAAAUAUUAAAUAUAUUUUUGUUAUAAAUAAAAAUAUAUGUUAUAUAUUUUUUUAUAUAUAAUUGUUAUAUUAUAUCAAAUAAAUUAUAAAUAUUAUAGAUUUAUUUCAAUUGUUAUAUAACUUUUUUCUUAAUUGUUAUAGUAUUUAUAUAAUAAAUUAAAAAGCAUUAUGCUAUAGCAUGUAAUUAUUUUUAUGUAUUUAUAGCAUUAGCUCUUUAAUCUCAUGGAUUUCGCCUUAUUAAUGGUAAAAUGGAAUGUGAGAAGGAUUUAAAUCUUGUAAUUAGUAUUAGUAUGCACAUAGAUAGCUUGCAAAUAAUUAAUACAUGACUUUAAUUAAAAGUCAAUUUAGUUAACAAAUAUUAAUCAUAAUGUGCAAUGAGAGAAGGAUUUAACUUCCAUCAUUAAUAUUAGUAUCCAUAUGAAAAAUGCCACAUAGCAAAUGGAGAAGUCUACAUAAGUAAAGCUUCCAUUUUAGUAUAAAUAUUAGGUUCUAGACCUUUACAAAUUUAGUCCUUGAUGAUGCAAAAAAAACUGUGGGUUGAACAAGUUUGAAGAUCAUUUAAGCAUCCUCCUAGUUCUUUCACUUCUUUGUCACUUGGUUGCUUCUAGGAUAAGACAUCUCUAUUUUAAAUUAACCUUAGCCAACCUACCAAACUUUCCCUACCGGCCCCUAAUGCUAUUACUAAAUCAAUCUUUGAUUCACAUUUCAAGCUCUGCUGAUUCCUAAAGUUACACGUCAACAUUUGGAAAUAGAUGACAAAUCUGAACCUUAAAGUUCCCUUUAGCAAUUUAUUCAUGCACUUAUAUAGACGUUUCCAUUAACUAUUUGCAAUUUCAGUGGCAGACUGUAACCGAAAGAUAUGAUUGAAUAGAAACGAGAUAAGAGGAGAGCAACAAAAAAAAAAAAGGUCAUUAUAUCUACUUAUGGUUAGAGCAAUCCAAGAUCCUAGAAGGGGUAGAUCGAGGACAUGCUUAACCUUUGGCAUUGUUUUAAUUUGCACAAAGUGACGGUCUUAGUCCUUGAGCUAGUGCCAUGGUACUUGUUAGACCAAGCUCUUUGUAGACCCAAGCAGUUUGAUGGACUCAAGUAGGCACCUCAUGAUUCGUUGGUGUUGCGGCCAAUUCUUUGUUGCCCUAGCUCUGACGAAAGGCAAUCUGCAAAAGAAGUCCUCAGAUCAGAAUUAUGUCCGACGAGGACCCUCCGAUGCUUAAGUCAUUAGAAAGUGGUGAACAGCAGAUAAAAUAUUCAAAAUGACAAAGUGUUAGUCCAAAAGUAUCUUAUCCCGUGCCUGUUCUCUUAUCUUCCUUUUAUAGGUGACUCAGAUGUAACCGUCGAGCAUGUGGUCCCGCUUUUAUGGUACUAUGGUAUAUUUAUCCCGAUUAUCGGGCUAUAAUCAUAGAGUUAGUGGGCAAUUUAUGUUCACUAACAAUCGUAGCAUAUAGUUAUUACCUACGAUUGUAGUAUCAUAAUUAUAUAUUUGGUAGUCGGCUGUUUGACAAUCGACCAUUUGACAGUCAACAAUCGAUUAUUUGACAGUCGGCCAUUAUGAUGCUAGUUUGGUCAUGAAAAUAGUCAGUCGAUCAUGAAAAUGGUCAGUCGGUCAUGCCAUGAAGAUGGUCAGUCGGUCAUGCUAUGAAGAUGGUCAGUCGGUCAUGAAGAUGAUCAGUCAGCCAUGAUAAAAAGAUGGUCAGUCGGCUAUGCCAUGAAGAUGGUCAGUCGGCCAUAAAGAUGGUCAGUUGGCCAUGACAUGAAGAUGGUCAGUCAGCCAUGAAGAUGGUCAGUUGGCCAUGCCAUGAAAAUGUUGCUUUUGCCAUGAUGACUCAAGUUCAGUCAUGAUAACUCUGCCAUAAUGAUUCUACUUCGGUCAGAUAAUUCUUAUGAGGGCUAAAUUCUAAAAGUUUCUUCUCUUCCAGAGCCUUCUCUUUUAGGAUCGUUUGGCUCUUCUUAUAUAGUUAUGGAACAAAGAGCCGAUCUCAAAUAUGAGAGCUGAUGUAGAAUCGGAGGGAGCAAAUCCGAUUGUCCUAACAGUUGGCCCCACUCUCAAGUUUAAGGUGGCUUGACGCAUUAGACGAUGAGAGUCAACAUAUCUUCUGCCAUAACUUUGAGUCCCAAUUCUGUGGUCAUUUUAGUUGAUAAUAAAAAAAAAUUAUUAUCGGACCUUAGUUCGAUUUUGUAGCCUUCAGUUCGUAGUGAAAGAAAUUUUUUUUUGUGUUGUCUCUUUGAAUGUGAUUAUCGUUGAAUACUUUCUGACUGACUGGAGUCGAGUUGGUAUAUUCUUCUGACCGAUCGUAAUCGAGUCGGUAUAUUAUUCCGUCCAACCGUAAUCGAGUCGGUAUAUUGUUCCAUCCGACUGUAUUUGAGUCGGCAUAUUGUUCAAUCCGAACAUAAUUGAGUCGAUAUAUUGUUGCGUCCAACCGUAGUCGAGUCAGCAUUGUUCCAUCGGAUCGCAUUCGAGUCGGCAUCUUAUUCCGUCCGAUCAGAGUCGAGUCGGCAUGUUAUUUUGUCUGACCAAAAUCAAGUCGGUAUCUUGUUCCAUUCGAUCGUAGUCGAGUCGGCAUACUGUUUCGUCCGACCGCAAUCGAGUCGAUAUGUUGUUUCGCCUGACCAUAGUUGAGUCGGCAUGUUGCUCCAUCCGAUACGAGUCGAGUCGGCAUAUUGUUCUAUCCGAUCAGAGUCGAGUCGACAUGUUGUUCCAUCCGAUCGAAGUCGAAUCGGCAUAUUAUUUCGUUCGCUCAGAGUCGAGUUGGCAUGUUAUUUCGUUCGAUCGUAAUCGAGUCAGCAUAUUAUUUCGUCCGACCACAGUCGAGUCAGCAUAUUAUUCCAUUCGAUCGGAGUCGAGUCGGCAUGUUAUUCUGUCCGACCAAAAUUGAGUCUGUAUAUUGUUCCAUCCGAUCGAAGUCGAGUCGGCAUAUUGUUCCACCAUAGAGGAAUAUUAUUGUAGAUUAUUUCAUUGAUCCAGAAUAUGAUCGUAAGUCAUUCUAUUAUAGAGGAGUAUAAUUAUUAUUUGGAGAAACUUUCUGAAUCGUCGAUCAGGAUAGAUUCAUCGUUUGAAGGAAGCUUUUCGUAUCAUCGAUCACGAUCGAUUCAUCGUUUGGAGUAACUUUAUGAAUUGUCGAUCAUGAUCGAUUUGUCAUUUGGAGAAGCUUUCAAAAUCAUCGAUCACGGUCGAUUCAUCAUUUAAAGAAGCUUUCCAAAUGUCUGUCCUCUCGAAGUCUCAUCGUUUAGUCAUUUUGUAGCUUUUUAAUUUGAUGAUCUAGCUCUUAGAGCUUCCACUCGUAGUUGUUCAUACGCUGGAAAUCCUCUCAGAGAGAACACCCAUGAGUAAAACUUUUGUUGGAUGAGGAAGGAAAAGAACAUUGUCGUUUUCUUUUAUCAAUUUUGUGGGGAGAAUAGGUGGCGAUCGACAUAUUGAGAGUGAUGGACUGAGUAGUGUGGCCCAUCCUGUCGAUGAGAAAACGGUCGAGAUUGCACCACCAUCGAUUGUUAGCUAUGUCGAGACAGGACUGUUAAUGGUCGGCGAUGUCGAUUUGAGGGAACAAUCGAGGUCGGUGAGAACUCCUUCGAUUGUUGCUAGAAGUUGUGAACUAUCCUCUAUCAGCAUCUUUAUUUGCUGCACGAUGGCAGCAAAUUACUGAGCGUCCACGAUGAUGAUUGGACGCGAAGAAGUGGGCUCUACCGGUGGAGGUGGGGGAUCUUUCCGAUAGAAAGAUUGCCAAGCAGAGCCGUGAAAAUAUUCUGGGCUCUCAUUUUCGCCAUGAUAAUUAGAUUUUUGCCCUCCUUCCUGAUGCGCCAAUCUGUUGUGGUCAAUUUUCUAUUGCGCCUAGCUCCGACGAAGAACAACCUGUAAAAAAAGUCUACAGACUGAAAUUAUGUCCGAUGGGGAUCCUCCGAUACUUAAGUCAGUGGGAAGUAAUGAACAGCAGAUAAAAUAUUCAAAAUGACAAAGUGUUAGCUUAGAAGUGUCUUACUCCUUGCCAGUUUCCUUACUUCCCUUUUAUAGGUGACUCGGAUGUAACCGUCGAGCACGUGAUCCCACUUUUUAUGGCACUAAGAGAUAGUUACCUCGAUUAUCGGACCAUAAUCAUGGAUUAGUGAGCAAUUUAUGUCCACUAACGAUCGUGGCAUAUAGUUAUUACUCACGAUUAUAGUAUCAUGAUUAUAUAUUUGGCAGUUCGCUGUUUGACAGUCGGCAGUCAGUUGUUUGAUAGUCGGUCAUUUUGAUACUGGUUUGGUCAUGAAAAUGAUCAGUCGGCCAUGACAUGAAGAUGGUCAGUCGGUCAUGCUAUGAAAAUGAUCAGUCAGCCAUGAAGAUAGUCAGUCAGCUAUGUCAUGAAAAUAGUCAGUCAGCCAUGAAGAUGGUCAGUCGGCUAUAACAUGAAGAUGGUCAGUCGGCUAUAAAGAUGGUCAGUCGGUCAUGCCAUGAAGAUGUUGCUUCUAUUAUGAUGACUCAAGUUCAUCUAUGAUGACUUUGCCAUAAUGACUCUGCUUCGGGCAGAUGACUCUCAUGAGAGCUAAAUUCUAGAUGUUUCUUCUCUUCCAAAGCUUCCUCUUUUGGGAUCUAUUGGCUCUUCUUAUAUAGGUAUGGAGCAAAGGUCAAUCUCAAAUAUGGGAGCCGACAUAGAAUCCGGGAGAGCAAAGCCGAUUGUCUCAACAGUUGGAGCAUUUUCAAAGUGCCAUCCUUCAGCUAGUAGUAAUUGAGGGUUAUCAUCUUUAUGCUCUCAUGUCAUGAUCAUUCUCACAUAGUAUUCUUCUUCUGCAUAUCAAUGAUAUGAUCAUUACUAACUAUGAUGCUUCCAUAGGAACACUCUCAGCAUUAGUUUGAGAUGAAGGACCUCGGCUCUUUUCUCCAUUUUUUGGGCCUUGAUUCUGCUUUCCCUCGUAGAGCAUAUUUGUUGUCACAACAAAAGUAAACUUCUAACUUGAUAAGUUAUUCCUACGUGACCAAUUCUCGCAUGGUUGAUGCUUCAAUGGAGCUUCAUCAAAAUCUUUAUCCCACAGACGGCGAGUCGCUUAUUGAUUCUACUCGCCAUCAACAGCUUCUUUGCGCCUCGAUUUAUUUGACUAUUCUCGACCAGAUAUCAAGCACGUUGUUCACGUUGUAAGCCAAUUUAUCAUGCACGUUGAACUUUGAAUUUUGAAUAUAACUGAAAAUAACUGAGAAUUAUAGUAGGAAGUAAGCAGAUUGAAGGAAACAUGCUUACAUAUGGCAAUUAUGGGGGAUUUGAAUAUUAUUUGCAGUUGGGAGGAGAAGAGACAAGGUAGGCAGUUUGUGAAAGGUAAGGAGGCCGGUGAAUUCCACUCUCAAUGAUGUUCCAUGUCAUAUCAUUCUGUUUCUUGGAAUUGACAUUAAAGAAACUGUUUGGAACUAUCUUGUGCCAUUGUCAUGCAAGAGAUCUGGCUGGAAUUUUUAAUAUGUAACGCUCGGGGUAGGAUAGAGGGCUGGGAAUAGGGAGCCAGCUCCAUCUUUUGUGGGUUUUUUUUUUUGGUACAGGAUGAGGAUCGAAAGAAAACUAUACAAAUAGGAAAAGCUAAUAAUGUGUACGAAAAGAAGUAAUGGGUACAUCACCCUUCAAAAUCCUACUUAAAUUUGAUGGAAUGCCUUCAUCUUUUUGAAGCAAGAAGUCCCCAUGAAUGGCUGGACUAGCGAUCUAGUCGGCAGCUGGGUUGCCUUCCCAGUGAUUGUGUGAGAUUUGGAAGGUGUUGCGAAACUUCUUCCAUGCAAGAAUGUCCUUUAAUAAAGGAUUCGUGAAUUUGCCAGAAGGGGGCCUAGAGAUCCAUGCUAUGACGGUUGUAGAGUCACCUUGAAGCCAAAUUUCCUGACAAUAAAACACAGCAGCAUAGAUCAAGCACCGAGAGCACCAUGAUCGCCGACAACUAGAUCAAGCAAGAGGGUUUUGCUUUGUCUUACCAGAGCUGUCGGUUGUAUGGAGUCCUUUUGAAAGAUUCUUUGAUUUCUAGCUCCACAGAUCAGGCAGACCAUAUUGGCACGCAAGGAUUUGAUCCUGUUGUCCACAUUUGCACAAGCUAAAUGGUCAGCAAGCGCUUCCAAAGAGUAGGGGAUGAAAGAUAAGAGACAUUUCAUUAGCAAGGACCAACAAGAGAAAGCAAAUUGGCAUGAAACCACAACAUGAUCACAAUCUUUAAAUGGUCCCCUGACAAAGAUCACCAAAGAUUUGGUCAUUAUGAAGAAUACCUCACCUAUUUAAGACCUGUUUACAAGGAAUUCUUUGCCAUAAAACUUUCCACCGAAAGAACUUCACCCUCAUAGCAACAUCCAAAUUCCAAAUCCAACUGAAAUUAGUUGACUCAUUAGUUAAUCUGGGCAAAGAUGGAACAUGCGACAUACCUUUUAAGGAGACACAACUAGAUUUGCUUUGGCUCCAAACUGACUGAUCAGGCCACAUUCCUUGCACUAUGGGGAUUUUAGAAAUAGAGGUCAUCAUAUCAGUAGAAAAGAGUUCCGCAAGCCUAGCCAAAUCCCAGUUGCGAUCAGCAGUUAUAUAUUAAGAGAUAAAAGCACCAAGUCAAGUCAAUUUCGGAGCUAACAUGUGUGGGCCACUGACUCAAAGGAAGAUUAGAGAGCCAAGGAUCUUCAGCCAUAUUGAUAGAUUGGUUAUUACCUGUGCCCAUUGAAAUUGAUCUCGAAUUUUGAAGCCAUGGCGACAAAUGAUCACCCGAAUGAUAAAGCAUAUCCUUAGCUUGCUAUAAAAAAUCAGGACCCAGGGAAUUUGUAUUUAGCUUUCACCACCUGCGCCCACAAAGUAUUAGGAUGAAGAACUAGGUUGGAUACUAUCUUGCAGAGGAGAGCUUGUUGUCUUGUGUGGAGGGAUGACAGGCCAAUACCACCAAUACUUCUAGAAUUACAGAAUGUUCCAAGAGGUGAGAUGGGUCCACCGUUGAUUCAUAGAGUGGCCCUAUAGAAAAACUCUAUACUCUUUCCCAAGAUUCUUUAAAAUAGAGAGAACAUGCACACGAGACAUAGUAUAGAUGGGCAAAGAUGAAAGGAUGUUUUGUAGAAGGGUUGCUCUCCCUGCAAAGGAGAGGGCCCUCUACUUCCAGCCAGCAAUCUUAAUAAGAAGUUGGUCUAACAAGAAAUCAAAGAUGGCAAGUUUCUUGUAGAGAGGGGGGACACCCAAGUAUUUAUAGCCAUCUCUUUUGAUAGGCAUGUUGAAGAGAUAACUAAUGAUUUAUCUUGAUCUUCAAAGAGUAGAAGGACCAAAUAAAAAGAGAUUUUGCAGCAUUGACCACCUGACCGGAGAAAUGGCAGCAAGCAUCAAGACUGAGCUUCACGUAAAAGGCAUCAUGGAUCGACGCCUGGGGAAUAACAGACAGUGAUCAGCAAACAGGAUGUGAGAAAUGAUCGGCUCCCUAGAGCUGGAUUGGUAGGUCUUUAACAUUUUGUGUUGAAUAGCAACCUUUAGAAAGAUAGAUGGCAUCUCAGAGCAUAAAAUAAAUAAAUAAAGAGACAAUGGUCCCCUAGGUAGUGAACCGGAUGCUGGACCCUCCGCCUCCUCAGGACGUGGCUCGGCCGAAUCCUUCUCCGACGAGCUCCUCUGGCAUGCCAACAAGCUCGCGCGUCCAGGGCCACCUCAUCGGCCGCCUAGCCUCCCUCCUCGAGCCCUCGCCGCCUUCCUCUCCACCAUCCCCCGCUAGUGGGCUGGCAUAGACCGCCUCCACCUGGACAAGUUCUACCUUCUCCUCCGGUGGCUCCUCCGUUUCCUCCUCUUCAAGAAGAAUUCUCUCCGCCCACCUGAUGGGAGUCCUAUCGGAAAAUUCGCUUCUUUCGGUUGAUAUAAGUGUCCGGCACAAGGCGUCGAUUACCGCAUUGCCGAGGUUUUCUUCGAUGAAAUCGAUCGAAGAGGUAACCCUCGGUCCUUUUAGAGCCACUAGAAUCUCUUACCAUUCCUUUCUAUUCUCAAGAAGUCUCCUAGCGAACAAGGUCAAGUCCAAUGUCUUUGAUCAAUUGCAUGACGACGGUACCGAGAUAUUGAGUCGAAUAAGAGUAGGAGAUCAUGUGGAUUCUAGUGAUGAAUUGGUGAAAUUCGGAAAGUUUCUUUGAAUUUGAGCCUCUCAAAGAAGUUCUUGGGUCUGGCUUCUGGUUUAUGUACUCUUCAAGACAACAGAAAAAUGCUGUUUGACUUGCAUAGAAGUUUAAGUGGAAGAAUUAGAAAUCUACUUUGGAUACUCUUCCACUGAAUUUAAAAUAAAUACGGUUUCACUCGCACAGGAUGUGAGUAAGGAGGAAAAUGGACGGUGAUGCAGAUAGAAAGACUUUUAAAGGGGAUGCAGUGAAUAAGCCCGCAUCUUUGUUCCUUUAAAUGAAGCCAUGUUUUUAAGUCCUCGGAAAAGGAGGAAAGGUAAAAUGGACGGUGAAUGUUCUCUGGUCUGCAUAAGGACUGCAAAACGGCUACUUUAGAAGCCUGCAUGGCUAAUAGCAGUCCAAGUUUGUGUUUUCUCCCUGUAGCAAAGGAUGGUAAUACUGCGACCGGUAAGAGGAACAGAAUGAAGAAUGUAGGCAGCGAGGCUUGCGUCGAUCCAAAUAGUGUGAACGGGGGAGCAAGAAAGGAAAGAGUGGAGAAAGUUGUCGCAAGAAAGGUGUUCGAAGCCAGGCUUGAGACUGGUACUCUCAGAUUUUCACAGGGGCUGUGCACUUUAAAGUGGUGUGCCACAUGGCCCAAUCCAAGAAACCUCAUCCACAGUUAAAACAACCAAGGAAAAGGUCUGCUCUGCAAGGGCGGGCUGCAACUUAAGUUGUUAAGCGGCUUUGGAAGUUGGAGAGUCAUUUCAUGUAAAUUGGUGGAUCUAGCUGACCAUGUUUCCCUCCUCUAAAAUUUGGUUUCCUAACUGUCCUGAUUUAUGAUAUCUGUACAAGUUACCUUCAGUAUGCUUACAUCAUCAUCAUCUAACAUUAGAUCCUUUGUUUGACUGCAGCAUCUAUUUGAUUGCUUAGAUGAAACAUCCCACAUUAAGUAUACAUUUUUCCUUUUUUUAGUGUAUUUUUGCUACUAGACCCAUUUUUCCAAUUUUCACAUGCUUGGAUAACUGUGUUGGUACCGCCACAACUUUUUGGUCCUCUCUGUUGGCUAGGAAAUUUGAUUUGUGAUUGAUAUGCUUGAGAUCCUUUGUGUGACUGUAACAUCUAUUUAAUUGCUUAGAUGAUACAUCUUGUUAGUUAUAAUUUUCUUUUUAUAAGCAUAUUUUGGCUACUAGACCGAUCUUUUUGAUAUUCACAUGCUAGGAUAACUAUUUUGGUAUUGUUGGGACAAUUCAACCGACCCCGACUCCGACUAUACGUCGGUCUUAUAAACACAUUACUCCGACUAACAAUCAAUUGACCGACCGACAGUUAGCUACUAUCAACCAAUAAUGGAUAAUUUGGUUAACCUCCGAUCGAAAAUCAUCGGCAUAUCAGAGUUACUGACCGAUGCUCAUUCAGAUCUUCAGGACUACCGACUUAUCACUAUUACCGAUAUAUAGUCGACCUAUCUUCUCAACACAUCCUAAUCAUUAUGAACGGUUAUCGACUACGUGUCACGAUCAUUAGUGAGAAUAAAUAAUCCACUAACUCCAUGAUUAUGGUCCGAUAAUUUAGCGCCAUAAAAAGUGGGACCGCGUGCUCGACAGUUAUAUCAGAAUCAUUUAUAAAAGAGAGGUAAAUGAACAACACGGAUAAGACAAUUCUGGGCUAACACCCUGCUAUUUCAAUUACUCGUUAUCUGUUGUUCACCAACUCUCCACUGACUUAAGCAUCAGAGGGUCUCCGUCGGAUACAAUUCUGAUCUGAGGAGACUUUAUUUUGCAGGUGCUCUUCACCGGCGACAGGCGACAGAGGAUUGACCGCAACAGAUUGGCGCGCUAGGAAGAAAAAAAAAUGAUACAAUCAAUCAUGCAAAAAAUCAGAGCCCAGCACUCGACGGGAUCGACGAGACAGUCUUCCCACUGGGAAGAUGUUCCCUCCCACCUUCAGUGGUAGAGCCCAGUUCUUUGCAUCUUGUAGUCACCAUAGACGCAUAGAUUGUUGCACUCAGGAGCAAAUAAAGGUUUUGACGGAAGCGAUCCAAAACCUCCAUCAGCAGCAGCCAUCGGUGGAGCAGUCGGUGGCUCAGUCAGUGCCAUCUAGGCACAGUUGCCGUCCACUACGGCACUCGCCCUCCUCAUCUCCAGAGCGGUGACCAUCUCGGCAUUCUUAUCGAGAUGGACAACUACAUUCUCGGCACUCCCGUCGUGCUACUCAUCAUUCACGACAUUCUCCCUCUCCUUCCCAUGUACAUAGCAUCAAGAAAGGAAAGAGGCCGAGGACUCUUUCUGCUUCUCCCUCUUCGAGCUCUUCAGGGGGUUAUACCCCUGGAGUUUUUCAGUAAUGACGGCUUGACGACUAUGAACGUAAGUUCAAGGAGAUUGACCACCAGCUUGCUCGACUUUAGGUGGAAGGUUGGAAGUCUUUCAGUGACUAUGACUUUCACACUGCCCAGCCUCUCUCUCGGUGCAUCUUAGAUAAAUCGAUUCCCUCUCGAUUCAAAAUGCCACAGAUGGAGCCAUAUGAUGGCUCCACCGACCCGAUCGACCACUUGGAGAGCUAUAAGGCUUUCAGAUGAGCUAAGAGAUAACUGAUGCCCUCUUAUGCAUCAUUGGCUUUCGGUAACUCUUCGGAAGGCUGCUUGAGCCUGGUAUUUCGAGCUUUAGUCGAGAAGCAUUAACUCUUUUGAGCAGCUUGAAUAUUCUUUCAUGGCCUACUUCAGUACUAGCCGAAGGCCGCCACGAACAUCAGACAGUCUCUUCUCUAUCAAGCAAGGUGAGACAGAGACGUUGAGAGACUUUGUGGCUCGUUUCAAUACAGCCACACUUGAGGUCAGAGGCCUCAAUGAAGAUAUGGCCAUAUCGGCCAUGAAGAGAGAUCUGAGGGGAUCGAGAUUCACCUACUCUCUAGAUAAAACUCUUCCUUGGAGCUAUGCUGAACUUUUGGAGCACGCAUACAAGUACAUUCGUGCGGAUGAAGCUACUUUUGACCGACGUCAGAUAGAUGAAAAAGGUCAGAAGAAGAAACAAAAGAAAAGUAAAGCUCCGAUCGAAUCAAGUAGGCUGACUGUUAAUAAGCGAGCUUCACCUCGACAACGGAGUUCGAAGCUAAGCAGCUACGGUAAGUAUGACUUCUAUACUCCUCUUUCUGCUCCUUAUGCAUAGAUUUUGAUAGAGAUCGAAGGAGAGGAGUACUUACAGCACCCCCCACCAAUGAAAGCGUCAUCGAGGAGUCGAGAUAGGAAGAAGUACCGUUGGUUCCAUCGUGAUCACAAUCACGAUAUCGAAUAGUGUAUCCAGCUCAGGGAUGAGAUAGAGGCCUUGAUUCGAUGAGGCUACCUCAAAAAAUUCUGACGAAAUCGUCCGACUCAACCUCCCACCGACUAACAAUCUCAAUCGCAAACUAAGGAGAUACUCAAUAAUUGACCAACGAUGAGAGUAAUCAACAUGAUCUCCAAACGACAGAAGAACUGGGGGGCAACUUCUGAAGAAGAGUUGGCGAAGAAACGACGACUCAACAAUGUAAUUACCUUUUCGGAAGAUGAUGUUCGAAGAAUACAAACUCUCCAUGAUGAUGCUAUCAUUGUCUCGACAAUGAUAGUAAAUUAUGAUGUAAAAAAAAUUUUAGUAGAUAAUGAAAACUCAACUAAUAUUUUAUUUUACUCGAUUUUCUUUCAAAUGUGACUACUGACUGAUCGACUCAGGAGAGUCUCGACGCAAUUAGUCAGUUUCACAGGAAACACGAUUAUCGUGGAAGAAGAAAUCACUCUCCUAUUAAUCGCAGGAACUGAACCACAACAGAAUACUAUUCUUGUGAUAUUCACGGUUGUCUGAGUUUUCUCGACUUAUAAUGCCAUACUCGAAUGAUCUGGACUUAAUGCUCUGAGAGCAGUAGUCUCGACUUAUCAUCUACUAGUCCGAUUUCUAACAAGAAAUAAAGUCGGAGAGAUGCGUGGAGAUCAACAACUUGUCCGAUGUUGCUUUCUGAUUUUCACACAAAAUAAUCAACCUGAAGACUCUUUGUCUGUUGAUAAAUUGGAUCAAAGAAAAAAUGAAGAAAGGGGUGAACCAGUCGAGCAACUGAUUUUUAUCCCACUAAAAGAAGAAGAUCUUGAGAAGACGGUCCAAAUUGGAUCUCAGUUGCCUGAUUCGAAGCGGCAAUAACUAAUAAAUCUACUAAGAAUAAACGUCGAUAUUUUUGCUUGGUCGGCUAUUGACAUGCCAGGCAUUCAUCUAGAGGUAAUAAUCCAUCGGCUAAACAUUGAUUAAAAGGUUAAGCUGAUGAGACAAAAGAAAAAAUCUUUUGCUUUCGAAAGGCAGAAGAUUAUCGACGAAGAAGUUGACAAGCUCCUCGCAGCUGACUUCAUCAGAGAAGCUAAUUAUCUCGAUUGGCUCGCCAAUAUAGUGAUGGUGAGAAAGAUCAAUAGAAAAUAAAGAAUCUGCAUCAACUACACAAAUCUAAAUAAAGUUUGUCCGAAGGACAGUUUCUCCUUACUGAAGAUUGAUCAACUAGUUGAUGCAACUUCGGGAUACCGACUCUUAAGCUUCAUGGAUGCCUUUGUAGGAUACAAUCAGAUUUAGAUGGUAUCUGAAGAUGAAGAACACACAGCCUUCAUAACCGACAAAGACAUCUACUGUUAUAAAAUAAUGCCUUUCGAUUUAAAAAAUAUCGGAGCCACAUAUCAACGGCUAGUUAACAAAAUCUUUAAGGUACAGAUCGGAUGAAAUAUAGAAGUUUAUAUGGAUGAUAUGCUGAUAAAAAGUUCUCAAAUUAUUGAUCAUAUUCAGAAUCUCGAAGAAGCCUUCAGCACAUUUCGACAACGUCAGAUGAAGUUGAAUCCGACUAAGUGUACAUUCGGAGUAACUUCCGAGAAGUUUUUCGGAUUUCUUGUAUCACAAUGAAGAAUAGAGACCAAUCUCAAGAAAAUAAAAGCUAUCAUCAAUAUGAAGCAUCCAAGCUCCAAGAAAGAGAUACAGCAAUUCAAUGGAAGGAUCGUCGCACUUAGUCGAUUCAUAUUAAGGUCGGCAGAAAGAUGUCCGCCCUUCUUCAAGACUUUGAGAUAAUCAAAUGACUUCAUAUGAUCAGACGAGUGUCGACAAUCCUUUGAAGAUCUCAAAAGAUAUCUAACGUCUCCAUCAUUGCUUACAAAACUAAAGGUCGGAGAAACUUUGUAUCUCUACUUGACGACAUCAACAGAGGUAGUUAGUUCGGUGCUUAUCCAAAAGAAUGAAAAUCGAAUUCAAUGACUGAUCUACCACACUAGCAAGAUGCUUUACAAUGCUAAAGUAAGAUAUUCAAGAGCAGAGAAGAUGAUCUACGCUUUAAUUAUAUCAUCAUAACGACUUCGUCCAUACUUUCAAGUAUAUUCUAUCAUCGUCUUGACAAAUCAACCAUUGAAGAUAAUUUUAUACCGGCCUGAUACUUUAGGUCGAAUGCCAAAAUGGAUGAUAAAGCUUAGCAAAUUUGAUAUACAAUAUCGUCCACAUCCAUCAAUAAAGAUGCAAGUUUUGGCUGACUUCAUCGUCGAGUGUACAAUUCCAGAUAAUAAUCCUGAGGAUGAAUUCAACAAUAAAAUAAAGCAAACUAUAACUUUCAAGUCCGACUUAACAUCGAUAUGGGUGCUACAUAUUGAUGGAGCAUCUAAUGCACAAGACAGUGGAGCUAUUCUCAUUCUCAUCAAUUCCGAAGAAGUUAUAACUAAAUAUGUCCUUCGAUUUAAUUUUAAAACUUCGAAUAAUCAAGCCGAAUAUGAAGUACUCUUAGUUGAUUUAAAGAUUGUCAAGGAGCUUGAUAUUGAUCGCCUGAAGGUUUUCACCAACUCACAAUUGAUUGCUGGAUAAGUCAAGGGUGAAUUUGAAGCUCAAGACCCCAUUAUAAUGAAGUAUCUUCAGAAAUGAAAGAUCUAAUGUCAACCCUAAAAUAUUUUGAGAUCUUUCACAUUCCAAGGACAGAAAGUACUCGAGCCAAUGCACUUUCGUGACUCGCAACCACUCCUUUCAACUCGCUGGAUCGGAUAUUCGUCGAAUGCCUUGAAUAGUCAAGUAUUAAUAAAAUCAAAAAAGUGCUACAAAUCAAUUAUGAACCAAGCUGGAUGGAUCCGAUUGUCCAAUACUUAACUGAUGAAACUCUACCUACAGAUUUCUCAAAAGUCAAACGACUCAGAUGGACGGCCUCACAAUACAUUUUGAUGAAUGGUCAACUAUAUAAGAGGUCAUUCUCUCUCUCCUUACUGAAGUAUUUGGGACCGACAGAUGUCAAUUAUGCACUUAGAAAAAUUUAUGAAGAAAUUUAUGAAAAUCACUUGGAGGAUAAAUAUUUGGCUUACAAGGUCUUACGACAAAGAUAUUACUGGUCCACCAUAAAGAAAGAUGCAGCUGAACUUAUCUGAAGGUAUGAACCAUAUCAGAAAUAUACAAAUAUACAACACCAAUCGAUCAGUCAGUUGAUAUCAAUUAUUGCACCAUGGCCCUUUACACAAUGGAGAAUUGACAUACUUGGUCCUUUCCCUCCGACAUCUGGUCAGAGAAAGUUCAUAGUGGUCACAAUUAAUUAUUUCACCAAAUGAGUGGAAGCUAAAUCUCUGGCACAAAUUACUGAAAGUAAGAUGGAAGACUUCAUUCAGAAAUCAAUCAUAUGCAGAUUCGGUCUACCAUACACCAUCAUCACUGACAAUGAUCGAUAAUUUGAUAAUCAAAACUUUAAAAAGUUUUAUAUGAAAUUUCAUAUUAUACACAAACUCACAUUAGUCGGCUAUCCAUAAUCCAACAGUGAAGUAAAAAUGACAAAUCGAAUAAUUCUACAUGGACUCAAAAUCAGACUGAAUGAAGCUAAAGACCUCUAGAUGGAAGAGCUAUAUCUAAUUUUAUGGACAUAUCGAAUGCCUCCUCGCAUACCAAUGGGAGAAUUGUCACUUAUGGAACAGAAGUGAUGAUCCCACUUGAGAUCGGAGUACCAUCGUAAGGGUGGAACAAUACAAUGAGCCGAACAAUUUAGAGUAUUAGAGAGCCGAUCUAGACUUACUUCCAAAAGUUUGAUAAUAAGCUCAAAUUCGGAUGGCAGCAUAUCAACAAAGUAUAGCCCAAUAUUAUAAUGCAAAAGUUAAACCGAAGGUCUUCCAUUCAGGAGACCUGAUCCUAAGAAAGACAGAAGUCUCAAAGCCUUUGGACUAGGAAAUUUUUUUUUCAAAUUAAAAAGGACCUUACAGAAUAAUUGAAAUACUUAGACCGGACGCAUAUUGGCUAGAAAUUUUUGAAAAAAUAGCUAUUCCACGAAUGUGGAAUACUGACAACUUAAAGAUGUAUCACUAAUAAAGUUGUUCAUAUGUACAGUAUUCAGAAUAAAACAUUGAAUUUCAGAAUCACAAAAAUUUUGAUCAACUAUGAAGUGAUAUUAAACCGACAAAUGGAUGGUCAACUCCUAUCGAUUAUAUUUCGAUUUUUUACUGUAAAAAUCGAUACACUGACUAUAUCUCGGCUUUCACUAUAAAAAUCGAUUGAAUGACUAUUUAUACCGACUUAAUUUUAAUUAAGUAAAAUAUUAUGCCAAUACGACCCAUAUCGAAUUGAAAUUAUACCGACUUGACUACCGUUGGUCGAAGGAUAUUCGAUUUACCAUCGAUUAUCAAAUAACUGGACAUACUAACCCGAUUAUGGUUGGUCGAAGGAUAUUCGACUUAUUAUCGUUUAUCCUGAUAUCUAAAAGAUAAAAUAUGUCAAUGGAUAUUCGAUUAGACUAACAAAUAAUUCUACAAGUACUAUUAAACAUUCAGCUUCUUGAUCGAUAUUUGGUAGUCAAAUGAUAAUUCUACGAUAUUGCAAAUACAUAGAAAAGAAAGAGUUGGUACUUGAAAAAAAAAAUUCAUUCAUUGAAAAAAAAAUUAUAAAAUUGGAUCGAAAUCUAAUUACAAAAGUUUCUGAUUACAAAAAAAAAAAAGACAUUACACCGAUCAUCAGUCAUCGUCUCCAUCUCCUUGCUCCAGCGCAGCAUCGACGACUGGAAUAUAUUCUGGUGCAGUCGGUGCAACAUCUUUAAUCAGCGCAGCCCCUUUUUUGACAGCUUUAUCUUCUAGUGUAGGAGAGAUGAUGCUACUCAAGUCCAGAUCCGAGUAUAAUUUUUUGAUCGUAUCUUGACAGUCCUCGUACUCGAUGCAAUAAGAGGCGAACCCACUUUCGAGAAUUUCUUCCUUGAACUCUUUCAAGUUCUUGAAGUUCUCGAUGGCUUGGUUCAGAGCUUCUCUUGCUAACUCUGCUUCAACUUUGCCAUCUCUGUGUCAGCUCUUGUGGAGGCCAACUCACAAUCAGUCAGUAUUAACCUUUCUAAGGUGGCUCAAUGCCUUCCAUGUUUGGCUUGGAGUUCAUCAAUGCAGCGAUCCCUUUCUCGUCGAAGCCAAUAGAUGGAGUGCUUUUUGCUCUUGAUCCACAACUCAAGAGAUCAAAUAUUUUGGUGAGCUGACUCAAGUUCAGCUCCAGAAGAUUGUAAAACGAUGGUCAAAUGGGAGACUUCUUUCUGAAGCUUUGCCUCCCGCUCAGUUGCCACCUGGAGUUGUUCAAGGGCAACCGUCUUCUCAGCAUUGGUGGCUGCCACUUUAUCCAUCAUGACCGAUGGAAGUCGACAAUCUUUCGAUAGACGACCUCCAGGUCAUGCACAUCGUGCGUCCACUGAAAGCAGAAGAUAAGUCAGAUUAGAUAAAAAAAAAUGAAAAUAAAAAAUAAGUUAGAAAACUUACCCCAAGCAUCAUCGGGUAAAAGAAAGAAAAUAUCUCGGCUAUUGUCCGGUUCUUCCUGUUCUCCCGAUCAGUCGGGAGAAGAACAGCUUGGAUGAGCCGCUUGGUCAAUGCUGGAUUGGCCAAGACUGACUCACCCUCAGGAAUUCUGAUGUUGAAAAGAACUGGAUGGCCCGUCGACAACCCGUUGUCAGCCGAAGUUGCCAGUGCUUUCCCCCGAUCUUCUGUCGAUAGUCCCGUGCUUGAGAAUGCAGGAAAGUCGAUGCCCGAUUGUGCCUGAGAAUGUUCUGCUGUCGGAAUAGCUGGAGUAGCUGUGGAUCAUUUUGGCUCAGCUGUGACUUUUGCCUCGAUCCGAGCUUCAGCUGAUGGAGCUACCGACAAUACUGCUGCAGCUUUGUCUUCUCCUGCCGUCCCAUCUUCAGUGGACGGCACCUCGGGGAGCGUUGUUGGGAACGACAACGCCAAAACUGGCUCGGGAACCUACUCUGAUGGAAUGUCAGAUUCCCUCAUCGGUGUAGAUAAAGUAACUACUCGAUUCUUCUUCGAUGGUCGGGAAGGUCCAGCUUCAGAUGUUGCCUUCUUCUUGACAGCGUACUGAUGAAUAUCAGCAACCGACACUCGUGCUCUCGACUGCAUAGCUGCAAUCAGAACAAAAAAAUCAGUACAGUUCAGGAGCAGACAAAAAUAAAAAAAAAUGAAAGUGAUCAACUAUGCUAUACCUAAGGAGAUGACCGAACUAAGCCCGAUAUCGUAGAGAGCUUAUUCAGUCAUCAGCUCUCGUUGCGAUGGAACUGUUAUGUCCUUCAGUCAGUGAAAAUCUUUCCGAUCAUCGACCUCCACCUGACUAUUCUCGUUGGAGUCGGUCCUUGGAUCACCCCAGCAUGAAGAAAAAUCUCGGGAAAAAGAAGAAGAAACAAAGAAAAAUUGAUUCUUCCAUUCAUGAAUAUGAAUAGAUGAUGGAAGAUUGAUGAUGAAAGAAAAAUCAUUUCUCGAGUUGAAGAACUACCAACCUUUGGCCUUAGGAUGAGGACGAAAGACAAAAGAAGUUUGAAAGAGAGAAGGAUGAGACUCAGUCGGUAUGAGCCGACAUAGCAAAGUAAAACUGAUGAUCAGCCGGAUGGAGUUCGGAGCCAGCUGAGCAGGAUAGAGACUAUAAUAGUCAAAAAGAUUCUGGACGAACUCCGAAAUCAAAAAUCGAAGAUUGGUCCGAAGGUCUUUGACAUAAAAUGUGAUCUGAUCCGAAGGAGGAGAAUUAAUCCAACCAUCCGUGUCAGAAAUAAAGAG